CAUCAUUGAUCUGAUCCGCCAUGGGAUUAGCCAUCUUAAACUCAAAGACCUAAUCAUCACCGAGUUGAUCCUCCAUGAACUCAUCAAUCACAUUUCCAUGACUAUCUGCCAUGUGGUCGUCCACCAUGAGCUUGCGACCAUGGUGUAGGUUGACCUACUUAGCACUGCCAUAAUAAACUAAGAGAGUGGAUCCUAUGAAAAUUCGAUGGAGGAGUGAGUUCACUAAAACUUCGAUAGCAGUGGAGGUGAUGUUGUGGAUAGGCACGAGAUGGAGAUACUAAAUAGAAAAGGGAAAGUUUGCGAAGAGGCUUGAGGGGAGAGGCUAGGUUUGAGGCAACAUCGAGGGGUAAGGGGCGAGGCCUUUUGUAGUGCUUGGUAUGCUGUGGUGUCAAUUAAAUUUUUGAUAAAUACUAAAUAUAUCACAUGGUACUAUGAUAGUAAGGUGGAAUCCAACACGUGUUUUGUGUCGAUUCCCCAAUGGGUAGUUGGGCCAGACAAUGCGUCAUGUGUAUGUGAUAAGUUUCACGAUCUAUUGGUGAUAUGCCAAUUUGGGCCCUUCCUCCCAGCACUCACGGCCCAAGCAAGUCAACCAAACUCAUGAUUCGGUUCCUCCAGGAGUCCUGGCCCAAAAAGAUAAAUGGCGAAAAGGACUAUCUUUGAAGUCGACCAUCAAUAAAGGAGAAACCAAGGUGUGCCAAGCCAAGAGAUCAUAAGAGGAAGGUAAGGACCAACUGAAUGAAGGUGAAGCCGUAUCCAACUAGGAUACACAAGGGAGGAAGGCGUCCAAACCAACCCAAGCAUGGGUAUCAAUAGCAGUGUGCCAAGACUAGGAGGGAUAACUUCUACUUUUACAUCCAAGAAGAUGGAGUCGAAGAUCUAGUUAUUGGACCUAGAUUAGAUACAAUCUUGGACACACCCCGUCGAGAUCGGCCACCAAAAUUCCUAGUGACUUAGUGUACAAGUUAUUGGACCCCCCGCACAUUGUACUUGUUGAUAUCUGUAAUGCCAAACAAGUACUAGAGUUGUUACUUGAUACAUCUCCAAUGUAUCUAUACAUUUUUUAUCGUUUCAUGCUAUUAUAUUAUCAAUCAUGUAUACUUUAUAUGCCAUUUUAUAUCAUUUUUCGGAACUAACCUAUUAACUCAGUGCUCAGUGCCAGUUCCUAUUUUUGCCUAUUUCUUUCUUUCAUAGAAAAACCAUAUGAUACGUCUCCAUCAUACCUACUUUUCCAAACAAUUUGGCUCUUGUUUUGGACUCUAAUUUGCAUGAUUUGAAUGAAACUAACCUGGACUGGUGUUGUUUUCAACAGAACUACCAUGGUGUUGUUUUUGUGCAGAAAUAAAAUUUCUUAGAAUCGGACAAAACUUUCUAGAGAUUUUUUAUGGAAUAAAAGAAAUAUACUGCAACAAAGAUCCACAUGAAGGGGGCCACCUGUUGCCAACAAGGCAAUAGGGCGUGCCCUGUUACCUUGUGGGGGCCAUAGGCGGCUGCCUGGCCUAAUUCUAGCGUUAUAAAAUCUGUUUCAUCAAGAGAAAAAUAUGAGAAGAAGUUUCAUCGCGUUUUACUAUACGGAGCCGCCGCCACCUCCUGUUCUUCAUUGUGGGGGCUGUUCUGGGUCCGUUUGGGGCUCUGGGGAGGGGGAUUCGUUGCCAUCAUCAACAACUUCAUGAUGCUCACCACCGGGUGUGAGUAAUUCCUCCAUAGGCUUGCUGGCUGGUGAUGGAUUUGGAUGCGAUUUGUCAUGUAAUCGAGUCAAUUUGUUAGGGCUUGAUCCCUAGUAUCCACUAUGUUCUGAGAUUGAUGUUGCUAUGACUUUGCUAUUCUUAAUGCUUUCCACUAGGGCUCGAGUUCCAUGAUUGCAGAUCUAAAGCUAUUAUGUUUUCAUGAAUAUAAGUUUGUUUUGGAUCCUAUCUUGCAAGUUGUAUGCACCUAUUACGUGUUAUGAUCCAGAGACCCCAAAGUGUCAACAAUUGGGAUUCACUCUGGUGAUGACAGUAGUAUGAGGAGUUCACUAUGUGUUAAUGCUUUGUUCAGGUUCUGUAGUAAAAUGAGGCCUUAAUAUCCCUUAGAUUUCCUUAUGGACCACGCUGCCAUGGGAGGGUAGGACAAAAGAUGCCAUGCAAGUUCUUAUUAUAAGCAUGUAUGACUAUUUACGGAAUACACGCCUACAUUAUAUUGAUGAAUUAGAGCUAUUGUGUAUCGCUAUAGGUUGUGACUAUUAUAUGAUGGGUGUCAUCCAACACAAAUAUCCAUCACUAAUCCAAUGCCUACGCUUUUCUCAUAUUGAUCUUUGCUAACUUAGUACCGUUGCUGUUGCUGUUACAAUCACUACAAAACUGCUACGAUUAUUGUUCUUGUUACUAUUGCUACAGUUAUCACUGCUAUCAAAACUAUCAUACUAUUGUGCUACUAAAUACUUUGCUCAGUUAUUUAGUUCUCCAGGUGUGUUGGAUUAAAAACCCAAUUUCUAGUAAUCAUAAAUAUUCUUUGGCUCCCCUUGUGUCAAAUCAAUAAAUUUGGGUGAAAUACUACCCUCAAAGACUGUCGCGAUCCCCUCUAUUUGUGGGUUAUCACCAUACCAAACGAAGUCGAAACACAAUGAAACUUUACGGUGAUUUUUUCUGGACUAGAAGAGACCCUGAAGCUUCGGGGGCAGAAGAUCUACGAGUGGGCCACAAGCUCACAUGGUGCGCCCGAGCGCCACCUGAGCUUGUGGGGCCCUCGGAGGUCUCCCUGACCUAAUUCCAUCACUAUAAAUUCCUCAAAAUCCGUAAACACCCAGAGCAAGACCUGAAACUGUCAGAUAUCGGGUUCCAGCAAAACCCUUAAGGUUCAAACUCUGGGUUGCGCGCGGAGAUCUUCCCCCUACCGAUCCACAUCCCAACGCCUCGCUGAGAAUCUAAGCUAAACGAUGAACAACACAAGGGACACAAGGUUUAUACUGGUUCGGGCCACCGUUGUGGUGUAAUACCCUACUCCAGUGUGUGGUGUGGUGGAUUGUCUCAGGGGCUGAUGAUGAACAGUACAGGGGAAGAACAGCCUCGCGAGAGGUGUUUUUGUUGUGGUGGCUUUCUUCGGAAGGAUUCCGAUCCCCUCCUACGGUGGUGGCUAUCUCUAUAUAUAGAGGCCCUGGUCCUCUUCUCAAAUAUUAAGAGGGAAGGGCGCCAACAACGGCCAUUUUGGAGGGGAACAUCUAGUACAAGUUAUCCUGACUAAAGUUGGUCUUCGGCUGCCAAAGGCCUUGGCGAUGGCGUCGUCUUGGGCUCCAAGGUGACCUCCGUCCUGCCACUCUACUGGUCUUGGUCUCGUGCACCGAAACGGUAACAUUUGCUUGAUGCCUUGGUACUCCACGCCUGUGCUUGCCCCCUUUGCACCAAAGAGGAAACAAGGACACUAUGCAGGCCAGCGCCUACCGGGCACCCGCCUGGUCUCGAUCGUCAUGGCUUGUGUCAUGAGCACCUCGCGAGGUACCCUUGCCUUGAUCUCUCCACCUCCUCGCGAGCCUGCCUGGUGAGGCCGUUCCUGAGGAAGCCUUUCGUCAUCUGCCCCGCAAGGCUUGGCCCCUCGCGAGGGUCUUGAGCUUGAGUUGAUGAAGAUGGGCCGUACUGGGUCACCACUUGAGCCAUGCAGCAGGCCGCAGGCAGGCAAGUCUGGGGACCCCGUUCCCAGAACGCCGACAGUAUCCCCCGGGCCCAAGCCGCGCUCGGACUUGGCUUAGCAGCAAAGCGAAGGGGCAAGUGCGGAGCAUCGCAGGCCCCAACAGCCUGCGGCCUUGGUCGCCACAUGGUGGUUGAUUGGACGUGGGCGUCUCUACUUCCCCACGCUGCCUCAGCAACCGCCCAAUUUGAAGAGUCCCUGCAUGCAAAAAUGAGUCAUGAUUACCUGCGAUCGUGGAGGCCGAUGGUUGGCCUCCUCUGGACUAUAAGUACGGAGUGGCGUGAGCCCCCGCAGUCCAUCUCUUUCUGCCCCGCUCCUUCUCCAUCUUGAUGUCAAUGGCGCCGAUCCGCCGGUUCUCAGCCGAGGAGAAAGGAAAGCCCCCCCGAGAGGGCCCCGACCUGCUCCCGCCGAAGAAGUGGCCGGUCCCCGGCCGUCGUGAUGAGGUCGCUCGGCAGGAGACGUCGAGGCCUUGGUACGAGCGGCCACCUCCUGGGUUUCCGCUGCCUUUGUACGCCCGGGCUAAGGGCCCUAGGGAAGAAGACGCUGAGCUGCGCCGCCCGCGCCAUCGGCGACUCCGACGAAUCACGGCGGUGCGCUUCGUCACCCUGGAGUCCAUGCCGCGGACUCCUCUCGCGAGCUCGUGCUUCACGCCGCCAUGCCUCCAAGCUCCUAGAUUCACCUUCCUCCUUCCUUUUCCUUCGAGAUGCCGCCGAGGGGGCCUCUUGAGCUCUGGCUGCAGCACGCCAACUGCGGUACCCCUGCGACCGGAGCGGAGGUUGAGGUUGUCGCUCCGGGCAAGGUCUACAUGACCCGAGGCUGGGGCGAGAUCGCCCGGGUCUGCCGAACAGGGGGUGCCUUCGUGAUUCAUUUCGAAUACGAUGGCGCCUCCUUGAUGCUCUUCAAGGUCUUCGACGCGGAAGGACGGCGGCUAGAGUGCUGCCCCAGGGAAGGCGGCCGAGGCAUCGAAGUGGCGAGGGCUAGGCCUGCCACUCGCUUCCUCAGCAGCUCCUCUGGCAGCAGCAGAGAUGCCAGCAACUCUCCUGAGCUUCUCGUGACUCCAGAGAUGAGCGACGACAGCUACGAGCCCCCGAGCUCCCGCCGUGCCCGGAGCAGGGUUGCUGCAUCAGGUCGCCGACGCGGCUGACCUGGAUGGGGUUGGCGCCGGAGCUUGGUGGCCCACUAUUGAUGAUGGAGUCGGCCGUGGAAGCGCGUGUAGUCAGGGCUCCUUAGGAUUUGCACCUUUUGUUCCCUGCGAGGAAUCAAGGAAAUACCCUGUGGGGGCAUGUAAAGCGUCUGCAAUGUCUUUUGUUAAUAUCAUCCUCAUCGCGAAGUGGUGCAAGAUGCUUGUCCUGUCUCAGCUUUGUUCCCCCUUUCUAACCUCGCGACGGCUUGGUGCUCUAUGCUGACAGGUCCCGGUCCCCAGGCAGGCUUCAGCCGUCGCUGGUAUACCAGGUCGCGAUGCCAUGGUCAAGGCCAGGAGGUGGGCAGCCCGAGGUCCAGUAAGAGCCCCUGAGGCGUGAUACUUCCAUUUUGCAUCAUGCUUUUAUAUCAAUAUUUAUUGCAUUAUGGGCUAUUAUUACACAUUAUAUAUCAAUACUUAUGGGUAUUCUCUCUUAUUUUACAAGGUUUACCAUGAAGAGGGGGAAUGCCGGCAGCUGGAAUUCUGGCUAGAAAAGGAGCAAACAUUGGAAACCUAUUCUGCACUGCUCCAAAAAUCCUGGAACUCCUCGGAACUUAUUUUUGGAAUUAAUAAGAAUUAUUGAGUGAAGAACUACCGGAGGGGGCCCACACCCUGGCCAGGAGGGUGGGGGGCACGCCACCCCUACUGGGUGGGCCCCCUGUCUCCUGGGCCCCCUGGUGGCCCUCCUGUGCCCAUCUUCUGCUGUAUGAAGGCUUUUACCCUGGAAAAAACCAGAGGCAAGCUUACGGGACGAAACUCCGCCGCCAUGAGGCGGAACCUUGGCGGAACCAAUCUAGAGCUCCGGCAGAGCUGUUCUGCCAGGGAAACUUCCCUCCGGGAGGGGGAAAUCAUCACCAUCGUCAUCACCAACGAUCCUCUCAUCGCGAGGGGGUCAAUCUCCAUCAACAUCUUCACCAGCACCAUCUCCUCUCAAAACCCUAGUUCAACUCUUGUAUCCAAUCUUGUAUCAAAACGACAAAUUGGUACCUGUGGGUUGCUAGUAGUGUUGAUUACUCCUUGUAGUUGAUGCUAAUUGGUUUACUUGGUGGAAGAUCAUAUGUUCAGAUCCUUAAUGCAUAUUAUUACUCCUCUGAUUAUGAACAUGAAUAUGCUUUGUGAUUAGUUACGUUUGUUCCUGAGGACAUGGGUGAAGUCUUGCUAUUAAUAGUCAUGUGAAUUUGGUAUUCGUUCGAUAUUUUCAUGAGAUGUAUGUUGUCUUUUGAUAUGACUCCAACUUAUCUAUAAUUUUGAUUGUUCCAUGCUAUUAUAUUACCUGUUCUGGAUGUCUAUGGGCUUUAUUUUACACAUUUAUAUCAUUUUUGGGACUAACCUACUAACUGGAGGCCCAGCCUGUAUUGUUGUUUUUUUACCUAUUUCAGUAUUUCAAAGAAAAGGAAUAUCAAAUGGAGUCCAAACGGAAUGAAACCUUUGGGAGCGUGACUUUUGGAAUGAACGUGAUCCAGAGGACUUGGAGUGCAAGUCAAGAAGCAGCCCAGGCGGCCACGAGAUAGGAGGGCGCGCCCACCCCUCCUGGGCGCGCCCCUGUCUCGUGGGCCCCUCGGGAAGCCACCGAUGUACUUCUUCCUCCUAUAUAAGCCUACAUACCCCGAAAACAUCCAGGGAGCCACCGAAGAAAUAUUUCUGCCACCGUAACCUUCUGUAUCCGCGAGAUCCCAUCUUGGAGCCAUCACCGGUGUUCUGCCGGAGGGGGAAUCCACCACGGAGGGCUUCUACAUCAACACCAUAGCCCCUCUGAUGAGUUGUGAGUAGUUUACCAUAGACCUUCGGGUCCAUAGUUAUUAGCUAGAUGGCUUCUUCUCUCUUUUUGGAUCUCAGUACAAUGUUCUCCCCCUCUCUUGUGGAGAUCUAUUCGAUGUAAACUCUUUUUGUGGUGUGUUUGUCGAGAUCCGAUGAAUUGUGGGUUUAUGAUCAAGUUUAUCUAUGAAUAAUAUUUGAAUCUUCUCUGAAUUCUUUUAUGUAUGAUUGAGUUAUCUUUGCAAGUCUCUUCGAAUUAUCGGUUUGGUUUGGCCUACUAGAUUGAUCUUUCUUGCCAUAGGAGAAGUGCUUAGCUUUGGGUUCAAUCUUGCGGUGUUCUUACCCAGUGACAGAAAGGGUUGCAAGACACGUAUUGUAUUGUUGCCCUCGAGGAUAAAAAGAUGGGGUUUAUAUCAUAUUGCUUUAGUUUAUCCCUCUACAUCAUGUCAUCUUGCUUAAUGCGUUACUCUGUUCUUAUGAACUUAAUACUCUAGAUGCAUGCUGAAUAGCGGUCGAUGUGCGGAGUAAUAGUAGUAGAUGCAGGCAGGAGCUGGUCUACUUGUUGCGGACGUGAUGCCUAUAUACAUGAUCAUGCCUAGAUAAUCUCAUAAUUAUUCGCUUUUCUAUCAAUUGCUCGACAGUAAUUUGUUCACCCACCGUAAUACUUAUGCUAUCUUGAGAGAAGCCACUAGUGAAACCAAUGGCCCCCGGGUCUAUCCUUUAUCAUAUAAGCUUUUAAUCUACUUUUAUUUGCAUCUUUAUUUUCUGCAUCUAUAUUAUAAAAUACCAAAAAUAUAUUUAUCUUUAUCAUACUAUCUCUAUCAGAUCUCACUUCCGCAAGUGGCCAUGAAGGGAUUGAAAACCCCUUUAGAACGGUUGCGAGUUCUUUGUUUGUUUGUGUAGGUCCGUGGGACUUGUGAGGAGCCUCCUACUGGAUUAAUACCUUGGUUCUCAAAAACUGAUGGAAAUACUUACGCUACUGUGCUGCAUCACCCUUUCCUCUUCAAGGAAAACCAACGCAAGCUCGAGACGUAGCAAGAAGGAUUUCUGGCGCCGUUGCCGGGGAGGUCUUCGCUCAAGUCAAGACAUACCAAGUACCCAUCACAAACUCAUCUCCCUCACAUUUACAUUAUUUGCCAUUUGCCUCUCGUUUUCCUCUCCCACACUUCACCCUUGCAGUUUUAUUUGCCCUCUCUUUCCCAAUCUCUCUCUCUCUCUCUCUCUCUCUCUCUCUCUCUCUCUCUCUUUUCGCUUGCCUUUUUCCGUUUGCUCGUGUGUUAGAUUGUUUACUUUGCCGUUAUGGCUAGUCCUCCUAUCCUUGUUAUUACUCCCGAACAUGAAAUUCUCAAUUUUAAGCAAAGGGAGGGAGAAAAUUUAAAAGAUGCUUGGCAUAGAAUUUGCAAUGCUCAAAAUAAAUCCACUAGGAAGCUUUCUACUUCCGUUCUUCUUCACAAUUUUUAUGUAGGCAUUACUCCUUGGAAUAGAUGCAUUCUUGAUACCGUUGCUGGAGGGGAUUUCUUGAAUAGCCACACGUUUGAAGCUUAUAAUGCUAUGUUAGAUUUGUUUGGCUCACCACCUCUUUUGGUUAAUGGAACUGUUUUAACUUUGGAACAUGUUAUGCAACGGCUUGAGACCAUCGAAAAUAAAAUUGCCACUAUUGAGUUAAUUGAAAAUUUGGAUAAAAAGAUUCAUAAUCAAAUUACCCAAUAUGGAUCUAGGGUUGGAGUCACUUUGAAAAAUCUUAAAGAGAAAGAACCUAUAGUUAAUGAAAAAUUAGAUCUAGAUUCUGCAAGAAUUGGUAAACUUGAGGAUAUCAUUACUAACUUAGGUUCCGCGUUUUCUUCCAUGAAACACACUCCAAAAACCCCUACCAAACUGCCAAGUUUAUUUAUGUUCCUAAAAAUAAGGGUGAAACUUCUAAUAAGGGAGACACGGAUCUCAAAUCCAUUAGUGAUCAUCCCAAUUGUCUCUCUAUCAUUAAAGAAUCUUCUUCUACAAAUGAAUUUCUUGAAUUUUUGCCUAAAGGUUUUAUCAUUGCUAAAAAGGGAGAAACCCCUAAAGAGUAUAAGUGCUCUAUUGAUGAACCAAAUGCCAAAGAUGGCACUACUUAGAUCUAUCUUCGCCUUUAUGCCUAGCUAGGGGCUUUAAACGAUAGCGCUAGUUGGGAGGCAACCCAAUUUUCUUUGUGUUUUUUUGUUUUUGUUUCUGUUUAGUGAUAAGUUUUGCAUCUACUUUCUGUUUUGAUGUGUUUUCAUGUUUUAUUUAGUGUUUGUGCCAAGUAGAACCUAUAGGAUAACAUAUGAUGAUAGUUGAUUUGAUUCUGCUGAAAAACAGAAACUUUGCGCUCACGAGAAAAAAAAUCAAUAAAUCACAGAAACGUGAUUUUGCAUUGAUUAUUUUUGAUGCUGAUCAAUAAACAAAUUGUACAGUACUUUAUAUUUUGGUAGGAUUUUUAGAGUUCCAUAAUUUGUGUUAGUUACAGAUUGCUACAGACUGUUCUGUUUUUGACAGAUUCUGUUUUUGUGUGUUGUUUGCUUAUUUUGAUGCAUCUAUGGCUAGUAUGUAAGGGUAUGAACCAUAGAGAACUUGGAAUACAGUAUGUAUAACACCAAAAUAAAUAAAGAAUGAGUUCAUUACAGUACCUUAUGUGGUGGUUUUGUUUUCUUUCACGAACGGAGCUUAUAAGAUUUCCUGUUGAGUUUUGUGUUGUGAAGUUUUCAAGUUUUGGGUAAAGCUUUUAUGGACUAUGGAAUAAAGAGUGGCAAGAGCCUAAGAUUGGGGAUGCUUACGGAACCCCAAGAUAUUCAAGAAUAGCCAAAAGGCUAAGCUUGGGGAUGCCCCGGGAAGGCAUCCCCUCUUUCGUCUUUGUUCAUUGGUAACUUUACUUGGAGCUAUAUUUUUAUUCGCCACAUGAUAUGUGUUUUGCUUGGAGCGUCAUUUAUUAUGUUAGUAUUUUCUUUUUAGUUCACCACAAUCAUCCUUGUCGUACACACAUUUUGGGAGAAGCCCACUUGAUUAGAAUUUGCUAGAAUACUCUAUGUGCUUCACUUAUAUCUUUUGAGCUUGAUAGUUUUUGCUCUAGUGCUUCACUUAUAUCUUUUAGAGAAUGGCGGUGGAUUAAUUUUGAAGAAAUUGCUAGGCUCUCAUGCUUCACUUAUAUUGUUUUGAGAGUCUUUUAGAACAGCAUGGUAUUUGCUAUGGUUACAAAUUUGGUCCUAGAAUGAUGAGCAUCCAAGUUGGGUAUAAUAAAAACUAUCAUAGAAAGAGCAUUCAACACUAUGAUCAAUUUGUUGCUUGAUAAUUGUUUUGAGAUAUAAAGGUAGUAAUGUUAGGGUCAUGCUAGUGGAUAAUUAUGAAAUUGAGAAAUACUUUUGUUGAAGUUGGCAAGUCCCGUAGCAUGAAUGUAUGGUAAAAGUUGUGUGACAAAUUUGUUGCACGAGGUGCUCUUUUGAUUGUUUUCCUUAUGAGUGGCAGUCGGGGAUGAGCGAUGGUCUUUUCCUACCAAUCUAUCCCUCUUGGGGCAUGCGUAGUAGUACUUUGCUUCGAGGGCUAAGUAGACUUUUGCAAUAAGUACAUGAGUUCUUUAUGACUAAUGUGAGUCCAUGGAUAUACGCACACUCAUCCUUCCACUUUGCUAGCCUCUAUUAUGCCGCGCAAUUUUCGCCGGUAUCAUGCACCCAUUAUUUACCUUCCUCAAAACUGCCACCAUACCCACCGAUUAUGGCAUUUCCAUAGCCAUUCCGAGAUAUAUUGCCAUGCAACUUUCCACCGUUCCAUUUAUUAUGACACAUUUCAUCAUUGUCAUAUUGCUCUUUGCAUGAUCAUGUAGUUGACAUCGUAUUUGUGGCAAAGCCACCUUCAUAAUUUUCAUACAUGUUGCUCUUGAUUCAUGGCAUAUCUCGGUACACCGCCGGAGGCAUCCAUAUAGAGUCAUAUCUUGUUCUAGCUUUGAGUUGUAAUUCUUGAGUUGUAAAUCAAUAAAAGUGUGAUGAUCUUCAUUAUUAGAGCAUUGUCCCAGUGAGGAAGGAUAUGAAGACUAUGAUUCCCCCACAAGUCGGGAUGAGACUUCGGACUUUAUAAAAAUAAAAGAGGCCAAAGAAGCCCACCAAAAAGAAAAAAAGAAAGAAAAAGAAAAAAAGGAAAAAUAAAAUAAAAUGAGAGAAAAAGAGAGAAGGGACAAUUCCUACUAUCUCUUUUUCCACACUUUUACUUCAAAAAUAGCACCAUGAUCUUCAUGAUAGAGAGUCUCCUAUGUUGUCACUUUCAUAUACUAGUGGGAAUUUUUAAUUAUAGAACUUGGCUUGUAUAUUCCAAUGAUGGGAUUCCUCAAAAUGCUCUAGGUCUUCGUGAGCAAGUGAGUUUGAUGCACACCCACUUAGUGCUUUUUGUUGAGCUUUCAUAUAUUUAUAGCUCUAGUGCAUCCGUUGCAUGGAAAUCCCUACUCACUCACAUUGAUAUCUAUCGAUGGGCAUCUCCAUAGCCCGUUGAUACGCCUAGUUGAUGUGAGACUAUCUUCUCCCUCUUUUUGUCUUCACAACUACCACCAUAUACCACCAUAGUGCUAUGUCCAUGGCUUGCGCUCAUGUAUUGCUUAAGAGUUGAAAAAACGCUGAAGCGCGUUAAAAAGUAUGAAACAAUUGCUCGGCUCGUCAUCGGGGUUGUGCAUGAGGGGAGUAUUUUGUGUAAUGAAAAUGAAGCAUGGCCUAACUAUAUGAUUUUGGAGGGAUAAGCUUUUUUUGGCUAUGCUAUUUUGAUAGGACAUGAUUAUUUAUUAGUAUGCUUUGAAGCAUUAUUAUUUUUAUGUUUCAUAAGCUUUUAUCUUGAAUCAUUUGGAUCUGAACAUUCAUGCCAGAAUAAACAAAAUUACAUUGAGAAUUAUGCUAGGUAGCAUUCCACAUCAAAAAUUCUGUUUUUAUCAUUUACCUCCUCGAGGACGAGCAUGAAUUAAGCUUGGGGAUGUUUGAUACGUCUCCAACGUAUCUAUAAUUUUUGAUUGUUCCAUGCUAUUAUAUUACCUGUUUUGGAUGUCUAUGGGCUUUAUUUUACACAUUUAUAUCAUUUUUGGGACUAACGUACUAACCGGAGGCCCAGCCCGUAUUGCUGUUUUUUUGCCUAUUUCAGUAUUUCGAAGAAAAGGAAUAUCAAACGGAGUCCAAACGGAAUGAAACCUUCAGGAGCGUGAUUUUUGGAACGAAUGUGAUCCAAAGGACUUGGAGUGCAAGUCAAGAAGCAUCCAAGGCGGCCACGAGAUAGGAGGGCGCGCCCACCCCUCUUGAGCGCGCCCCCUGUCUCGUGGGCCCCUCGGGCAGCCAUCGAUGUACUUCUUUCUCCUAUAUAAGCCUACAUACCCCAAAAACAUCCAGGGAGCCACCGAAGAAAUAUUUCCGCCACCAUAACCUUCUGUAUCUGCAAGAUCCCAUCUUGGAGCCAUCGCCGGCGUUCUACCGGAGGGGGAAUCCACCACGGAGGGCUUCUACAUCAACACCAUAGCCCCUCCGAUGAGUUGUGAGUAGUUUACCACAGACCUUCGGGUCCAUGGUUAUUAGUUAGAUGGCUUCUUCUCUCUUUUUGGAUCUCAAUACAAUGUUCUCCCCCUCUCUUGUGGAGAUCUAUUCGAUGUAAACUCUUUUUGUGGUGUGUUUGUCGAGAUCCAAUGAAUUGUAGGUUUAUGAUCAAGUUUAUCUAUGAAUAAUAUUUGAAUCUUCUCUGAAUUCUUUUAUGUAUGAUUGAGUUAUCUUUGCAAGUCUCUUCGAAUUAUCGGUUUGGUUUGGCCUACUAGAUUGAUCUUUCUUGCCAUGGGAGAAGUGCUUAGCUUUGGGUUCAAUCUUGCGGUGUUCUUACCCAGUGACAGAAAGGGUUGCAAAAGACAUAUUGUAUUGUUGCCAUCGAGGAUAAAAGGAUGGGGCUUAUAUCAUAUUGCUUGAGUUUAUCCCUCUACAUCAUGUCAUCUUGCUUAAUGCGUUACUCUGUUCUUAUGAACUACUCUAGAUGCAUGCUGGAUAGCGGUCGAUGUGUGGAGUAAUAGUAGUAGAUGCAGACAGGAGUCGGUCUACUUGUUGCGGACGUGAUUCCUAUAUACAUGAUCAUGCCUAGAUAAUCUCAUAAUUAUUCGCUUUUCUAUCAAUUGCUCGACAGUAAUUUGUUCACCCACCGUAAUACAUAUGAUAUCUUGAGAGAAGCCACUAGUGAAACCUAUGGCCCCCGGGUCUAUCCUUUAUCAUAUAAGCUUUUAAUCUACUUUUAUUUGCAUCUUUAUUUUCUGCAUCUAUAUUAUAAAAUACCAAAAAUAUAUUUAUCUUAUCAUACUAUCUCUAUCAGAUCUCACUUUCGCAAGUGGCCGUGAAGGGAUUGACAACCCCUUUAUCGCGUUGGUUGCAGUUCUUUGUUUGUUUGUGUAGGUUCGUGGGACUUGUGAGGAGCCUCCUAUUGGAUUGAUACCUUGGUUCUCAAAAACUGAGGGAAAUACUUACGCUACUGUGCUGCAUCACCCUUUCCUCUUCAAGGAAAACCAACACAAGCUCGAGACGUAGCAUCUUUCCUCUAGUGGUGUUAUGUGAACGUCGACUACAUGACACUUCACCAUUAUUUGGGCCCAGAGGAAGGCAUUGGGAAGUAUUACGUAGAUGAUGGGUUGCUAGAGUGACAAAAGCUUAAACCCUAGUUUAUGCGUUGCUUCGUAAGGGGCUGAUUUGGAUCCCUAUGUCUAAUGUUGUGGUUAUGUUUACCUUAAUACUUCUUUUGUAGUUGCGGAUGCUUGCAAUAGGGGUUAAUCAUAAGUAGGAUGCUUGUCCAAGUAAUGGCAGUACCCAAGCACCGGUCCACCCACAUAUCAAAUUAUCAAAGUACCGAACGCGAAUCAUACGAGCGUGAUGAAAACUAGCUUGACGAUAAUUCCCAUGUGUCCUCGGGAGCUCCUUUCUCAUUAUAAAAAAUUGUUUAGGCUUGUCCUUUGCUACAAAAAGGAUUGGGCCACCUUGCUGCACUUUAUUUACUCUCAUUGCUUGUUACUCGUUACAAUUUAUCUUAUCACAAAACUAUCUGUUACCUACAAUUUCAGUGCUUGCAGAGAAAACCUUACUAAAAACCGCUUGUCAUUUCCUUCUGCUCCUCAUUGGGUUCGACACUCUUACUUAUCGAAAGAACUACGAUACAUCCCCUAUACUUGUGGGUCAUCAAGACUCUUUUCUCGCGCCGUUGGCGGGGAGCGUAGCGCUUUUGGUGAGUGGAACUUGGUAAGGAAAUAUUUAUAUAGUGUGCUGAAAUUUUCUGUCACUUGUUAUUAUGGAAACUAAUCCUUUGAGGGGCUUGUUCGGGGUAUCUUCACCCUGACCAGAAGAGCAAAGAGUUUCUCCUCAACCUACUGAACCUACUGAAAAUAUUUACUUUGAGAUUCCUAUGGGUAUGAUAGAGAAACUGCUAGCUAAUCCCUUUGGAGGAGAUGGAACAUUGCAUCCCGAUUUACACCUUAUCUUUGUGGAUGAAGUUUGUGGAUUAUUUAAGCUUGCAGGUAUUACCGACGAUGUUGUCAAAAGGAAUGUCUUCCCUUUAUCUUUGAAGGGAGAUGCAUUGACAUGGUAUAGGCUAUGUGAUGAUACGGGAUCUUGGAAUUAUAAAUGGUUGAAGUUGGAAUUUCACCAGAAGUUCUAUCCUAUGCAUCUUGUUCAUCGUGAUCGUAAUUACAUAUAUAACUUCUGGCCUCGUGAAGGAGAAAGCAUCGCUCAAGCUUGGGGGAGGCUUAAGUCAAUGUUAUAUUCAUGCCCCAAUCAUGAGCUCUCCAGAGAAAUGAUUAUUCAAAAAAUUUAUGCUCGGCUUUCUCUCAAUGAUCGCAACAUGCUCGAUACUUCCUGUGGUGGUUCUUAUAUGCUGAAGACUAUUGAAUUCAAAUGAGACUUAUUGGAAAGAAUUAAAUGCAACUCUAAAUAUUGGGGUUCCUACGAUGGUAAGGAGUCAGGUAUGACACCUAAGUUUGAUUGUGUUAAAUCUUUUAUGGAUACCGAUGCUUUUCGUGGAUUUAGCGCUAUGUAUGGACUUGACUCUGAGAUAGUAGCUGCUUUUUGUGAAUCUUUUGCUACUCACGUUGAUCUCCCUAAGGAGAAGUGAUUUAAAUGUAAUCCUCCGAUUGAAGUAAAAGUAUUUGCACCUAUUACAGUUGAAGAAAAGAUUGUCACUUAUAGUGAUCCUAUUGUCCCUACUACUUAUGUUGAGAAACCUCCUUUUCCUUUUAGGAUAAAGGAUCAUGCUAAAACUUCGACUGUUGUUCGUGAGAGUAAUACUAGGACUUAUACACCUCCUGAGAAAAUCAAAGUUGAACCUAGUAUUGCUAUGGUUAAAGAUCUCUUGGAUGAUGAUUUAGAUGGGCAUGUUAUUUAUUUCUGUGGUGAGACUGCUAAUAUUGUUAGACCACACACUAAGAUACAUAGACCUGUUGUAGGCAUGCCUGCUAUUUCUGUUAAAAUAGGAGAUCAUUGUUAUCAUGGUUUAUGUGAUAUGGGUGCUAGUGCUAGUGCAAUACCCUGUGACUUAUAUAAAGAAAUUAUGCAUGACAUUGCACCCGUUGAAUUGGAAGGUACUGAUGUUACUAUCAAGCUUGCCAAUAGAGAUACUAUUUCACCAAUUGGGAUUGUUAUAAAUGUUGAAGUCUUGUGUGGGAAGGUUAAAUAUCCUGCUGAUUUUCUUGUUAUUAGUUCCCCACAGGAUGACUUUUGUCCCAUUAUUUUUGGUAGGCCCUUCUUGAAUACUGUUAAUGCUAGGAUUGAUUGUGAAAAGGAUACUAUUACAAUUGGCUUAGAGGAUGUGUCUCAUGAGUUUAAUUUUGCUAAGUUUCGUAGACAACCUCGUGAUAGAGAAUCACCUAGUAAGGAUGAGAUUAUUGGUCUUGCUUCUAUUGCCAUUCCUCCUACUGAUCCGUUAGAAAAAUAUUUGCUAGACCAUGAAAAUGAUAUGUUUAUGAAGGAAAGAAGGGAAAUAGAUGAAGUGUUUCUUCAACAGGAACCUAUUCUGAAACACAACCUACCCAUCGAAAUUCUAGGGGAUCCCCCUCCACCCAAGGGUGAUCCCGUGUUUGAACUCAAACCAUUACUGAUAAUUUUAAGUAUGCUUAUCUUGAUGAAAAGAAAAUAUAUCCUGUUAUUAUUAGUGCUAACCUUUCAUAGCAAGAAGAAGAAAGAUUAUUGAAAACUCUGAAGAAGCACCGUGCUGCUAUUGCAUAUACUCUGGAUGAUCUCAAGGGCAUUAGUCCCAUGUUAUGCCAACACAAAAUGAAUUUGGAGAACGAUGCAAACCAGUUAGAGAUCCUCAAUGACGAUUGAAUCCUAAGAUGAAAGAAGUGGUAAGAAAGGAGAUACUAAAGCUCCUUGAGGCAGGUAUAAUUUAUCCCGUUGCUGAUAGUGAUUGGGUAAGCCCUGUCCAUUGUGUUCCCAAAAAGGGAGGUAUUACUGUUGUUCCUAAUGAUAAAGAUGAAUUGAUCCCGCAAAGAAUUAUUACAGGUUAUAGGAUGGUAAUUGAUUUCCGUAAAUUAAAUAAAGCUACGAAGAAAGAUCCUUACCCUUUACCUUUUAUUGAUCAAAUGCUAGAAAGACUAUCCAAACACACACAUUUCUGCUUUCUAGAUGGUUAUUCUGGUUUCUCUCAAAUACCCGUGUCAGCAAAGGAUCAAUCAAAAACUACUUUUACUUGCCCUUUCGGUACUUUUGCUUAUAGACGUAUGCCUUUUGGUUUAUGUAAUGCACCUGCUACCUUUCAAAGAUGUAUGCUGGCUAUAUUCUCUGACUUUUGUGAAAAGAUUUGGGAGGUAUUCAUGGAUGAUUUCUCCGUCUAUGGAUCCUCUUUUGAUGGUUGCUUUAGCAACCUUGAUCGAGUUUUGCAGAGAUGCGAAGACACUAGUCUCGUCUUGAAUUGGGAAAAGUGCCACUUUAUGGUUAAUGAAGGCAUUGUCUUGGGGCAUAAGAUUUCCGAGAGAGGUAUUGAAGUUGAUAAAGCUAAAGUUGAUGCUAUUGAAAAGAUGCCAUGUCCCGAGGACAUAAAAGGUAUAAGAAGUUUCCUUGGUCAUGCCGAUUUUUAUAGGAGGUUCAUUAAGGACUUCUCUAAAAUCUCUAGGCCUCUGACUAAUUUAUUGCAAAAAGAUAUUCCUUUUUUCUUUGAUGAUGAUUGUGUAGAAGCAUUUGAAAUACUUAAGAAAGCUUUGAUUUCUGCACCUAUUGUUUAGCCACCUGAUUGGAAUUUACCCUUUGAAAUUAUGUGUGAUGCUAGUGAUUAUGCUAUAGGUGCUGUUCUAGGGCAAAGACUUGAUAAGAAAUUGAAUGUUAUCCAGUAUGCUAGUAAGACUCUUGAUACUGACCAGAGAAAUUAUGCUACUACUGAAAAAGAGUUCUUAGCAGUUGUGUUUGCAUGUGAUAAGUUUAGACCUUAUAUUGUUGACUCCAAAGUUACUAUUCACACUGAUAAUGCUGCUAUUAAAUAUCUUAUGGAAAAGAAAGAUGCUAAGCCUAGACUCAUUAGAUGGGUUCUCUUGAUCCAAGAAUUUGAUUUGCAUAUCGUUGAUAGAAAGGGAGCUGAGAACCCCGUUGCAGACAACUUGUCUAGGUUAGAGAAUGUUCUUGAUGACCCACUACCUAUUGAUGAUAGUUUUCCUGACGAACAAUUAGCGGUCAUUAAUGCUUCUCGUAGUGCUCCUUGGUAUGCUGAUUAUGCUAAUUACAUUGUUGCUAAAUUUAUACCACCUAGUUUCACAUACCAGCAAAAGAAAAAGUUCUUUUAUGAUUUAAGACAUUACUUCUGGGAUGACCCACACCUUUAUAAAGAAGGAGUAGAUGGUGUUAUUAGACGUUGUGUACCUGAGCAUGAACUGGAACAAAUCCUAUGCAACUGUCACUCUGAAUCAUAUGGAGGACACCACGCUGGAGAUAGAACUGCACAUAAGGUAUUGCAAUCCGGUUUUUAUUGGCAUACUCUCUUCAAAGAUGCUCGUAAGUUUGUCUUAUCUUGUGAUGAAUGUCAUAGAAUUCGUAAUAUUAGUAGACAUCAAGAAAUACCUAUGAAUUAUUCUCUUGUCAUUGAACCAUUUGAUGUUUGGGGCUUUGAUUAUAUGGGACAUUUUCCUGCCUUUAAUGGGUAUACACAUAUUUUAGUUGCUGUUGAUUACGUUACUAAGUGGGUAGAAGGUAUUCCAACUAGUAGUGCUGAUCAUAACACUUCUAUCAAAAUUCUUAAAGAAGUUAUUUUUCCGAGGUUUGGAGUCCCUAAAUAUCUUAUGACUGAUGGUGGUUCACAUUUUAUUCAUGGUGCUUUCCGUAAGAUGCUUGCUAAGUAUGAUGUUAAUCAUAGAAUCACAUCUCCCUAUCACCCGCAGUCUAGUGGUCAAGUAGAGUUGAGCAAUAGAGAGCUCAAAUUAAUUUUGCAAAAGACUGUGAAUAGAUCUAGAAAGAAUUGGUCCAAAAAACUUGAUGAUGCAUUAUGGGCCUAUAGAACUGCAUAUAAAAAUCCUAUGGGUAUGUCUCCGUAUAAGAUGAUUUAUGGAAAAGCAUGUCACUUACCUCUUGAACUUGAACAUAAAGCAUAUUGGGCUAUCAAAGAGCUCAACUAUGACUUCAAACUUGCCGGUGAGAAGAGGUUAUUUGAUAUUAGCUCACUUGAUGAAUGGAGAACCCAAGCCUAUGAGAAUGCAAGCUAUUCAAAGAAAAAGUCAAACGCUGACAUGACAAAAGGAUACAAAAGCGUGAGUUUAACGUAGGUGAUUAUGUGUUAUUAUUCAACUCUCCUUUAAGAUUUUUGUAGGAAAACUUCUCUCUAAAUGGGAAGGUCCUUACGUUAUCGAGGAGGUCUAUCAUUCUGGUGCCAUAAAAAUCAACAACUUCAAAGGCACAAGUCCGAGGGUGGUGAAACGUCAAAGUAUUAAAAAUUAUAUCUCAGGUAAUCCUAUCAAUGUUGAAACUAAUAUUAUUGAAACCGUAACCCCAGAGGAAUACAUAAGGGAUACUUUCCAGAACGUUCCAGUCUCCGAAAAGGAAUAGGUAUGUGGUACGGUAAGUAAACCGACUCCAAAAUAAUUCUAAUGGCAAUUUCUAUCCGUUUUGGAAUAUUUAAGAAUUUUGGAAAGAAAGAAGUAGUCCGGGAAGGACACGAGGCCUCCACGAGGGUGGAGGGCGCGCCCACCCUUACUGGGCGCGCCCCCUGUCUCGUGGCCACCUCGUGUGCCUCCCGGACUCCGUUUUCUUGCACGUUACGUAUUUUGGUCGGUAAAAAUUCAUUAUAUAAUCUCCCAAAGGCCUUGACCACCGUAUCAUGCAAAUAUCCCCUGUUUUCAUUUCGAGCUGUUUUUCUGACAGAUCUAGAGCAUCAUGACGUCUCCAAGCGCUCCCAAGGACAAGUUUUUCGAGAGGGUUAUCAACCCCUAUCUCGCGGAGGUGCUGCAACACCCUCAAACCAUUGAGAUGCGUGAGGGGGUGCUGCAAAUCCGCGAUGUGGAGGGACCAAGGCGUACCAGAAGCGUGGAGACAAAGCUCGAAGCCAUGGAGCAACAAGUUUUCAAGUGCCAAGGGAUGGUGGAGCAUGGACUCAACGCCAACCAGAUGAUGAUCACGGAGUUCACCAACAACCACGAGCUUGAUGCCAAGGUCAUUGGGGAGACCAUCUUCAAGCUUCAAGAGAAAAUCGAGCACCUCCAAGCCCAGAUCUAUGACCUGCAAAACCAAAACUGUGAGUAUGAAUAUAGAUUCAAGAAGAUGAGUUUGGCUGCAGAUUUGAGGAUCCCGGAGACUCGAUCAUCCUUCUAUGAUGGUGAGCCUAUGCCUUGGAAGAUGGACGACAAGCCUACAUCAUCAACAACUCCUACUUCACCACCUCCGAGGACAUAAUCACAUGAGUAUGGGCACUCCCCUUGGCAACUGCCAAGCUUGGGGGAGGUGCCCCGGUAUCGUAUCACCAUCACACUCCUAUCUUUACCGUUUUAUUUAGUUCGAUCCUUUUAGUAGUAUCUUGAUCUAGUAGAUUGAAGUUUCAAGUAUCAAUUAGUUUUGAGUUUUGCUUUGUGAUCUCUUUAUGUAAUCGAGUUCAUGAGCUAUCUAUAAUAAAGAUUAGUGUUGAGUCAAGGGCUUUGCUAUUUUUCUAUGAUCUUGAGAAAGUAGAAAGAAUAAAAGAGUUCAUAUUGAUCUUAUGGAUAGUAAUGACUUCACACAUAGAAAGUAUGAGGCAUAAAAGUUGUUGAGAGUUGGCAAACGUAGUUUUGGUCAUCGUUGCAAUUAAUAGGAAGUAAUAAGGAAAGAGAGGUUUUCACAUACAAAUAUGUUAUCUUGGACAUCUUUUAUGAUUGUGAAGCACUCAUUAAGUAUGACAUGCUAAAAGAGUUGAUGUUGGACAAGGAAGACAACGUAAUGGUUUAUGUUUUCUCACAUCUCAGUUAAAGUAUAUUGUCAUUGAUCUUCCCAACAUGUUGAUCUUGCCUUUCCCCCUCAUGCUAGCCAAAUUCACCAAGUAGAGAUACUACUUGUGCUUCCAAAUAUCCUUAAACCCAGUUUUUGCCAUGAGAGUCCACCAUAUCUACCUAUGGAUUGAGUAAGAUCCUUCAAGUAAGUUGUCAUGUUGCAGGAAAUAAAAAUUGCUCUCUAAAUAUGUAUGACUUAUUAGUGCAGAGAAAAUAAGCUUUAUACGAUCUUGUUGUGGAAGCAAUAAAAGCGACGGACUGCAUAAUAAAGGUCCAUAUACAAGUGGCAAUAUAAAGUGACGUUCUUUUGCACUAAGAUUUUGUGCAUCCAACCCUAAAAGCACAUGGCAACCUCUACUUCCAUCUGCGAAGGGCCUAUCUUUUACUUUAUGUUUUUACUUUAUGCUUGAGUCAAGGUGAUCUUCACCUUUCCCUUUUUCAUUUUAUCCUUUGGCAAGCUCCUCGUGUUUGAAAGAUCUUGAUAUAUAUAUCCAACUGGAUGUAAGUUAGCAUGAAUUAUUAUUGUUGACAUCACCUAAACGUGAAUACGUUGGGAGGCAAUACAACAAGCCCCUAUCUUUCUCAGUGUCCGGCUGAAACUCCAUAACCACAAGUACUGCGUGAGUGUUAGCAAUUGUAGAAGACUACAUGAUAGUUGAUGUAUGUGGGCUUGCUGAAAAGCUCUAUUCUUGACUCUUUCUGAUGUUAGAUAAAUUGCAAUUGCUUCAAUGACUGAGAUUAUAGUUUUUUAGUUCCCAAUGAAGUUUCUGAACCAUACUUAACAUUGUGAAUUUAUUGUUACUUGAGCAUAAGAAAUCAUAUGACAAAAUCUAUUUAUGUUGAUGUUAUAAGAAUGAUCAUGAUGCCCUCAUGUCUGUAUUUUAUUUUUAUCGACACCUCUAUCUCUAAACAUGCGGACAAAUUUUUCGAUUUCGGCUUCCGCUUGAGGAUAAGCGAGGUCUAAGCUUGGGGGAGUUGAUACUUACAUUUUGCAUCAUGCUUUUAUAUCAAUAUUUAUUGCAUUAUGGGCUGUUAUUACACAUUAUAUAUCAAUACUUAGGGCUAUUCUCUCUUAUUUUACAAGGUUUACCAUGAAGAGGGGGAAUGCCGACAGCUGGAAUUCUGGCUGGAAAAGGAGCAAACAUUGGAAACCUAUUCUACACUGCUCCAAAAAUCCUGAAACUCCACAUAACUUAUUUUUGGAAUUAAUAAGAAUUAUUGAGCGAAGAAACUAUUGGAGGGGGCCCACACCCUGGCCAGGAGGGUGGGGGGAGCGCCCACCCCUACUGGGCUCGCCCCUGUCUCCUGGGCCCCCUGGUGGCCCUUCGGUGCCCAUCUUUUGCUAUAUGAAGGCUUUUGCCCUGGAAAAAACCAGAGGCAAGCUUACGGGACGAAACUCCACCGCCACAAGGCGGAACCUUGGCGGAACCAAUCUAGAGCUCCGGUAGAGCUGUUCUGCCCGGGAAACUUCCCUCCGGGAGGGGGAAAUCAUCCCCAUCAUCAUCACCAAUGAUCCUAUCAUCGGGAGGGGGUCAAUCUCGAUCAACAUCUUCACCAGCGCCAUCUCCUCUCAAAACCCUAGUUCAUCUCUUGUAUCCAAUCUUGUAACAAAAUACAAAUUGGUACCUGUGUGAAAGAUCAUGGAUGUCGCCUAGAGGGGGGGGGGGGUGAAUAUGCGUUUAAAAAAAUUACGGUUUAGGCUUGAACAAAUGCGGAAUAAACCUAGCGGUUAUUUUGUCAAGCACAAAACCUAAAACAACUAGGCUCACCUAUGUGCACCAACAACUUAUGCUAAGCAAUAUAAGCAACUAUGUGAUAGCAAGAUAUAUGACAAAGAACAAUAUGGCUAUCACAAAGUAAAGUGCAUAAGUAUAUAGAGCUCGGGUAAGAGAUAACCGAGGCACGCGGAGACAAUGAUGUAUCCCGAAGUUCACACCCUUGCGGAUGCUAAUCUCCGUUUGGAGCGGUGUGGAGGCACAAUGCUCCCCAAGAAGCCACUAGGGACACCGUAAUCUCCUCACGCCCUCGCACAAUGCAAGAUGCCGUGAUUCCACUAAGGGGCCCUUGAGGGCGGUCACCGAACCCGUACAAAUGGCAACCCUUGGGGGCAGUCACCGAACCCGUACACUUUGGCAACCCUUGGGGGCGGUCACCGGUACCCGUCAAAUUGCUCGGGGCGAUCUCCACAACCUAAUUGAAGACCCCGACGCUUUCCCGGAGCAUUACACCACAAUGAUUGAGCUCCGAACACCACCAACCGUCUAGGGUGCCCAAGCACCCAAGAGGAACAAGCUCAAGGGUACCAAGCACCCAAGAGUAAUAAGCUUCUCAACUUGUAACUUCCACGUAUCACCGUGGAGAACUCAAACCGAUGCACCAAAUGCAAUGGCAAGGGCACACGGAGUGCCCAAGUCCUUCUCUCUCAAAUCCCACCGAAGCAACUAAUGCUAGGGAGGAAAACGAGAGGAAUAACAAGAAGGAGAACACCAAGAACUCCAAGAACUAGAUCCAAGGGGUUCCCCUCACAUAGAGGAGAAAGUGAUUGGUGGAAGUGUGGAUCUAGAUCUCCUCUCUCUUUUCCCUAAAAAACUAGCAAGAAUCCAUGGAGGGAUUGAGAGUUAGCAAGCUCGAAGAAGGUCAACAAUGGGGGCAAAAACGAGCUCAAGAGAUGGGGAACCAUUGGGGAAGAAGACCCCCUUAAAUAGGUCCCCACGAAUCUGCCCGUUAUGUGCAGAAAACUGUAGGACCGGUACAACCGGUGCACGAACCGGUACAACCGGCCAAAGCAGAGGAAAAACCAACCUGGGAAAAGCUCUAAGCGGUACAACAGCCUGGGGAAUCGGUAGUACUGGUUAAACCGGUAAAACCGGUCAACAACCGCCCAAGAACCGCUCCAAAACAGAAACUAGUCCGGUGGUAGAGCGGUAUAUGGCCGGAACAACCUCCGGACCAAUUCUGGAGCGGUACAACCGCUCCAAACACCGGCUGUACCGGUCAACCGGUACAACCUCUCUACGGGGCGGUACAACCUCUCUAUGUAAAACAGACAAUAUCAAAACAGCCACAACUUUCGCAUACGAGCUCCGAAUUCGAUGAAACCAAGUUUGUUGGAAAGCUAGCAACAAGGGCUAACACAAUCUUGAAAGAAAUAUCAAUAAGAAUAAAAUGAGAAAAAGCCCAUAAGAAAAUGGUGAGAACCCUUCCUUGGAUAAGAUCGGUAAAACCCCCAACACCGAAAACAUCAUAGAAGACGCAUGCGAACUCCGUUUUCGAUGAACUCAAGCUUGUCAUCAAGAUGACCAUAAGCUCUAAGACUCACAAAGAGAACCAAACAAGAACCAAGAAACAUGAUGCAAGGAUGCAAUGGUUUGAGCUCUCUACUAAUGAUACGAUCAAGCUACCAACUUGAGAGCCCCCCUUGAUAGUACGGCAAACGAUCCUAUAACCCGGUCUCCCAACUACCACCACAAGACCGGUAAAAUAGAAAACCUAUCAAGGGCAAACCUUUGCCUUGCACAUGGUCCACUUGAGCUAGAUGAUGACGAUCUUGACACCCUCAAGUUGGACCACCUUUCUUGAUUGCGUUGGCUCGAUGAAGACUAGAUGAUUGCUCCCCAUAGUCCACUAUGGGUGAGCGACUCUUCGGCACAUCUUCACAAGUCCAUUGACACCACAAUGGAUGGCAAGAUUCAAGCACUUGAUCUCUUCGUGAUGCUCCACUUGAACUUGCACAGGCAAUCAUGAUGACGAUCACCACUUGAUGUCAUCCUUUCCAUGGGUUGUAUGAUAUCUUCCUCUUGACGCAAGCCCAAGGACACGUACCAUACCAUGGGAUCACUUGAUCCCUCUUGGUACAUCUUCUAUGCUUUGUGAGUUGAUCAACUUGAUUCACUCUUGACUUCGUCUUGAUCAACCUUGAAUCUUUCCAACUCUCUUCAUUUGGAUGAUGUCUUGAAGGUAAACAUGAAUGAUCACACAAUCUUCUUCUUCAAGACAUGCUUGCAAUAAGCUCAACACUCACAUGACCAAUCUUUGGAUAAUUCCUUAAUAGCACCUUGGUCAACUCAUAAACUCCUUGAAACCAACACAUGGACUUCAAGAAAAGCCUAUGGACAAAACCUUCAAAUAUAGCAACCAUUAGUCCAUAGAGAUUGUCAUCAAUUACCAAAACCAAACAUGGGGGCAUCGCAUGUUCUUUCAAUCUCCCCCAUUUUGGUAAUUGAUGACAAUCACUUUCAAGAGAGUUUAUAUAAGGAAUUAUGCAUCACCAUGCAAUGCAACAACCAAUAGUGCAUGCGAAUGAGAUGCAAAUGCUAAGGAACAAAACCAAAGCAAGAGGAGACAACUCUCUAAACUUCUCCACAAAACUCUUUGAAACUUCUCCCCCAUUGGCAUCGAUUGCCAAAAUGGGCUUAAAGCUUAGAAGGCCAAUAUAAAAUGUGUUCCUCCAUAAAUUGUGUAUUUCUCAACAAGAGAGUGGAAUGCGAUACACAUAUCCAACGGUAAAUACUUGGAGGAAGACAAACUAUAUUGAGGCCCAAAGAUUGCAAAGGAAUAUAUGCCACAAAGACAUAAUCAAAGAGAGAAACAAGCAAUCAAGCAAUCAAAAGAUACCAAUUGAAGCAAGCUAUCAAAAGAUACCAAUUGAACCAACUAGGCCAAUGAUCCUAAGAGCCACAUGAAUAAAGGAUAUUAUGAUAAGCGCAGAGCAGUGUUCUAAAGAAACUAGAGAAGCUCCCCAUGAUUUGUGCACAACAAGAAUUUUUUUAUUUGGAUACAAAGUGCACAAAAUAGGACCAUAGCUCCCCCGAAAUCAAUAUAAAAUUACAACAAGUGCAAGUGAGCAUAUAGGAAACUAAGCCUAGUACUUGCAACAAACACAUGGUUGAGCAACAAGUAAGUGAGGCAACUUAAGAGUGGGCUCAACCAAAAAGAUGUGUGUGACUCAAGGCAAUGCACUUGAGAAGACUAAUGUACAAAAGAGCAUUAAGUAACAAUAAAGUCUUCAAAGAAUGAGGCACACGGUGCAAGGCCUAUCAUUCCCACACACAACUAGCGAAUGGGUUCACAAGCUUACUAAUAAGCAUAUAGAGAACCUAUGCUUGUGACAACCCGCGGUGAAGAUAGAAGAUGAGAGGCUCAUCAAGACGAGGGAUACCAAAAGAUGGCAAAAGCCUCGUAAAGAUAAGCAAGAGGAAAAUCAUCUUCACCACACAAGAGUGCAACAAGAUGCAAUGAUAGAGGACACACACUCAAGGCAAAAGCUUUCACGGAGCCACCAAAGAAAUAACAUAAGAAAGACAAGGUGGACAUGAAAGAAAGGAUAUCAACUAGAGAUGUAAUUUCUCUCAAGUGUAUAAGGCUCUAUGUAGAUGAAAUCAUGAUGAUAUAUAUAUCUACAAAGAAGGAUGUACACCCGAAAUAGUUACAACACGAAGGAACAAGAUAUCCACAAGGAAGUCAUAAAUAUACCAAUAAGAUAUUUGCUUGGAAGCAUAGCACUUGGCUUGAUAUGGUCUUAUUGUAUAUAAAUGAAGUCCAAACACACAUCCAUCAAAGGCAUCACAACUAGCAACAAGAGAUCAUCGUUGGGAUGCUUUGAGAAAGGAAACAAGUAACACAAGGUAAGAAAUGAAUAUCAUGCCAAGAUGCAACCUACACAAGGUUGAAUGCAAGAUGGGAAAGCAUGAAAAGAUACUUGUUACCGAGAUAUCAUUGGAAGGAUGUAGUAGAUACCAAUUGAAGGUAGAUAGUAGUUCAUUGAUCAUCCUAGCUUGACUCCAAUAUGCACAUGGUGACAACACCUUCCUUGUGAGUGAGCCAAAUGCAUCUCCAAAUGUUCCUAGAAGAACAACACAAACUAAACGGUACCCAAACUCAUCGGGACCAAAUAGUUAGAAACACCAAUACAUAGGACAAACUCCACAUAAAUAUGUGCAUAUAGAUAUGAAAAUGAAUUUCAUGCACAUCUCAUCCAAAUUGAUACUCGGUGGAGUUUCCCCUAUAUAUUGAGUCAAAGAAAGAAAGCAUGCCAAAUGAAAUACAUGAAGUAAACAUGUAUGCUCAAGACUUUCAAAACCCGAAACCAAAAGACAAAGAAAUGCCAAGUGAAAAGGAUACCAAAUGGAGAAAUCAUCACUUGGAAGAUAUCAUUAAAGAUACAUCAAGGAAUGAGAUAUCCAUUGAUACACACUAAACUAAAGAUGUCAAACUCCCAAAGAGAGGAUGGUUCCAAACAAACCAAGCUCUCAACAAAGUUUCAUGAUGGCACAAAGUACCAAAAAGAAAUGGCUUGCCUUCCACCAAUACACACUUGAUAAGGAUCACAAGAAGAGUGUUCUGAAGAAAAUAGAAUAGCUCCCCCACGAGUUGUGCAUUAUAUAGGAUUUGUAUUUGAAUACAAUGCACAAGGUGGGAUCACCGCUUUCACUAUAUCUAGAAAACACUAGACAAGAAAAAGAAAUAAACAAGAUCCACAAGUGGUAUGGAAGACAACGGGAGUUGACACAAUCCUUGGCAAGAGAAAAGGCAAGUAAAACAAAAGCCAAUGUAAAGAUGAUCAAUAAAUUCUACCACACAUAAAUGACUACCAAUUGUCAAAAGACAAGAAGUAGAUGGAAAGAAUUCCCGGUGGUAGAUAGCAAGGAUAUCCAACAUCAUCUUCAGACCACACACAAGCAAAUUGUAACUUGUAGAGCUAACAUGCCACCUAGGAACAAGAUAAUCUACAAUAUCAACACUAGGUGACAACAUCUCAAAUGUACACAUUUUCUAGGCUAGUAAUAUACAUAGCAGAUUACUCCCCCAUAAUGUGAUGCCAAUGAAGAAAACUUAACAAGAGGCAAUAAGAGGAUCCAACACGAGAUAAUCAAUGGAAUUUUUAGAAUUUGAAUUUCUCAUGAGAGAUAUACCACCUAGCGACUAGAUAAUCUUGAAAUAUCAAUACUAGAUGGUAUUAUUCAUGUGCACACAUUUAUAGGAUUGUGAGGUGCACAAAGCACACCACUCCCCCAUAAUGGAUAUUCCAUUAAUCUCUCACAAAAGCCAACUAAGAAAUAAACAAGAUGCACUAAGGCUCAAAGAACGACACACAAGUACAUGAUGUGCAAACCAACAUACACAAAGGCAAUUUGGAGACACAUCAUAUACAAACACAUGCAAGGAACAAAACCAAAACAUGCAAAGGGGCAAGUAACUUUCGAUGUAAACAAUUUAAGUACAAGUUACCGCAAGGAGGCACAUUGGAUAUAAGAUAGAAACUUGACAACCCAAUUGACUUGGCUUGAGACAACAAGAAAGAUGAAGUCCCCUUAAUUCUUCAUAAUGUAGCCAAGUCUCCAAUGACCUCUAAAAACACCUAUUGAUCAAGUUUGAGCUUGUUGGUCCCCAACCAAGUUGGGUCCUAAGAGGUUAGUCACAAUAGGCUUGGCUACCCAAAUGGUUCUUUUCUUGACACCACUUUGAGUACCAACAAACUUGGCAAACACAUUGCCAACCUUAUCCUUCCCAAGAGAAUAGAUAUCAUCAAUAAUAAUUGGGUUGGAUAAGUUACCACUAGUGCAUGAAGAAGCGACGUGACCUUUCUCACGACAUAAGUAGCAAUGUCUACUCUUCACUUUCUUCUCACUUGAUUUUUCCACAAGAGAAGCAUUAGCUUGAGUCUUCUUGGGAAGUGGCCUUUCUUCAACUUGAGGUUGAGCAUGAGAUUGAACUUGUGCCCUAUUCCCUUGUUGCUUGACACUAAUGGCCUUCUUCUUCAAUGGGAAAGAUCUAACAUGAUGCCCUUCUACUUUGCACUUGAAGCAAACAAUCUUGGCUGAAUUCUUGACUUGUUCUUGGCCCUUCUUUUUGUUCAUCUUGGACUUCUUCUUCUUAUUGGAGUUGAAUCCAAGUCCACCUUUGUCAUUGGGGGAUUUUUGCACACUCAAGAUAUUGUUGAGUGUGGAUUUCCCUUCAUGACACUUUUCCAAGUCUUUCUUCAAAGAAGUGACUUGGGCCUUGAGCUCUUUGAUUUCCUCUACAUGGUUAGUCUCAACACAAGUACUAGAGGAAGUAUAAGCUUCAUCGUUAGAGCAACAAGGCAAGGAAAGCAAUUCAUCACAAGAUGUACCAAGAUUGUGAGUAGAUGAAUUACAAGGACUAGCACAUGGCAAUAUACUAUUUUGACUAGAAGUAGUGCUAGUAUCCACAUGAGGCUCACUAGAUGUUACCUUAGCAAUCAUGGCCUCAUGAGCUAUCUUUAGCACACUAUGGGAUACUAGAAGAUCAUCAUGAGAGCUUGAGAGUUUUUCAUGACUUUCUUCCAAUUUCCCAUAAUUGCAAGAUAGCACCUCAAGUUGAGCCCGUAGCUCAACAUUCUCCUUCAAAAUGGAUGCUUAACAAGUAAUAGAAUUAGUAACACAAGCAUCAUCAUUAACAACAAGAGGAGAAGGCAACUUGGCAAGCUCUUUUAAAUAAGAAGCUUCAAGUUGAGCAUGAGACUCGGUGAGUUUUAUGAGCUCACCCUUGAUGACCCUUGAGCCAUUUUUGAGGUGCUCAAAAUCCUCAAGGAGUCUAGCAUGAGAAACUUCAAGCUUAGCAUUUUUAGUUUUGCAAUCAUUGGCCACCUGAAGAGCUCUAUCAUGAGAUUCCCUCACUCUAGAUAGUUCUAGAGCAAAAGUCUCCUCAAGAGAUUCGGAGGUGGUUUGUUCAUGUUCAAGAGCUUGAGAUAGCUCCGCGAUCUCAUUUGUGUAAUCACGCCCAUGAGCUUCCAUUUUCUCAAUGGUGACCUCAUGCUCCUCUAGAUGAGAUUCCAACUCCUCAAUGUAUUUCUUGCCAUCAAUGGCAAUGGACAUUAUUUCCAUGAAGUUGGAACGAGCAAUUUUAUUUUUAUGAAGAGCUUUAAAAAUCAUUUCCCCCUUAGUUUUUAAGGAGGCAACAUUAUCAUUCUCUUCAUCAUUAUCCUCAUCAUUAGUAGCAUCAACAUCAUCAUCAAGAGACAUAUUGGGGUACAAAGUAGGAGAUACCUUUGACGCCUUAGCCAUAAGGCAAAAAGCAAUAGAUGAUAAUGUAGGAUCCCUUGAGGCACCAUUAAGCACCACAUCUUGUUCCAUGGAGUGUUGGGUUUCCUCUACAUUGUUAGCACAACAAUUCGAGGACAUAGAUGCAUUUUUAUCAUGGCAACAAGACAUAGCAAGCAUAUCAUCAUGAGAUUUAGUCAAGCAAUUUCUACAUGAUAUAAAAGGACUAUCAACACAAGCAUGUGAAACAUUUGGAGUGCUCGAAGUGUUACAGCCCAAAGAAGGAGCAUUGCAAUAAUAUAGUGAUGAAGGAUCAUCCACAAUAAGCAUACUAUCAUCAUUGCAAUGACCAACACUACUCACCAUAUCAUUACCUUGUGGAAACCACAUGUAGGUGAAGUAGAAGAAGUUGAGAAGACUAUACGACCAGAGGUGGAGGGAGAACAAUCAUCCCCACAAAUCUUGGACACACCAUAUUUAUCUUGAAGCUUCGUCCACAACUCAUGAGCAUCCCGGAACGGCAUGAGUUGAAAAAUAACUACAUUGCUCAAAGCAUCGAAAAGCACAUUAGAAGCUUGAGCAUUGAGAUAAGAGUUUUUCUCAUCCUCUAAAGAUAAUCUUUGGGGAUCCUUUGGAGGAGAAAAACCCAUAUCUACAAUUCGCUCUAAAUUUGGGUCCAUGACCCUAAAGAGAUUAAGCAUGCGAAAUACCCAAACAUCAAAAUUCGUGCCAUCAAAACUAUGAGUGUCAGAGAAUCCUAAACCCCUAGUCGACAUCUUUACUCUCUAGGCGGUAAAGCCUAACAAAGAGAGACGAGGCUCUGAUACCAAUUGAAAGAUCGUGGAUGUCGCCUAGAGGGGGGGGGGUGAAUAGGCGUUUUAAAAAAUUACGGUUUAGGCUUGAACAAAUGCGGUAUAAACCUAGCGGUUAAUUUGUCAAGCACAAACCUAAAACAACUAGGCUCACCUAUGUGCACCAACAACUUAUGCUAAGCAAUAUAAGCAACUAUGUGAUAGCAAGAUAUAUGACAAAGAACAAUAUGGCUAUCACAAAGUAAAGUGCAUAAGUAUAUAGAGCUCGGGUAAGAGAUAACCGAGGCACGCGGAGACGAUGAUGUAUCCCGAAGUUCACACCCUUGCAGAUGCUAAUCUCCGUUUGGAGCGGUGUGGAGGCACAAUGCUCCCCAAGAAGCCACUAGGGCCACCGUAAUCUCCUCACGCCCUCGCACAAUGCAAGAUGCCGUGAUUCCACUAAGGGACCCUUGAGGGCGGUCACCGAACCCGUACAAAUGGCAACCCUUGGGGGCGGUCACCGAACCCGUACACUUUGGCAACCCUUGGGGGCGGUCACCGGUACCCGUCAAAUUGCUCGGGGCGAUCUCCACAACCUAAUUGGAGACCCCGACGCUUGCCCGGAGCAUUACACCACAAUUAUUGAGCUCCGAACACCACCAACCGUCUAGGGCACCCAAGAACCCAAGAGGAACAAGCUCAAGGGUACCAAGCACCCAAGAGUAAUAAGCUUCUCAAUUUGUAACUUCCACGUAUCACCAUGGAGAACUCGAACCGAUGCACCAAAUGCAAUGGCAAGGGCACACGGAGUGCCCAAGUCCUUCUCUCUCAAAUCCCACCGAAGCAACUAAUGCUAGGGGGGAAAAUGAGAGGAAGAACAAGAAGGAGAACACCAAGAACUCCAAGAACUAGAUCCAAGGGGUUCCCCUCACAUAGAGGAGAAAGUGAUUGGUGGAAGUGUGGAUCUAGAUCUCCUCUCUCUUUUCCCUAAAAAACUAGCAAGAAUCCAUGGAGGGUUUGAGAGUUAGCAAGCUCGAAGAAGGUCAACAAUGGGGGCAAAAACGAGCUCAAGAGAUGGGGAACCAUUGGGGAAGAAGACCCCCUUAAAUAGGUCCCCACGAAUCUGCCCGUUAUGUGCAGAAAACUGUAGGACCGGUACAACCGGUGCACGAACCGGUACAACCGGCCAAAGCAGAGGAAAAACCAACCUGGGGAAAGCUCUAAGCGGUACAUCAGCCUGGGGAAUCGGUAGUACCGGUUAAACCGGUAAAACCGGUCAACAACCGCCCAAGAACCGCUCCAAAACAGAAACUAGUCCGGUGGUAGAGCGGUAUAUGGCCGGAACAACCUCCGGACCAAUUCUGGAGCGGUACAACCGCUCCAAACACCGGUUGUACCGGUCAACCGGUACAACCUCUCUACGGGGCGGUACAACCUCUCUAUGUAAAACAGGCAAUAUCAAAACAGCCACAACUUUCGCAUACGAGCUCCGAAUUCGAUGAAACCAAGUUUGUUGGAAAGCUAGCAACAAGGGCUAACACAAUCUUGAUAGAAAUAUCAAUAAGAAGCAAAUGAUAAAAAGCCCAUAAGAAAAUGGUGAGAACCCUUCCUUGGAUAAGACCGGUAAAACCUCCAACACCGAAAACAUCAUAGAAGACGCAUGCGAACUCCGUUUUCGAUGAACUCAAGCUUGUCAUCAAGAUGACCAUAAGCUCUAAGACUCACAAAGAGAACCAAACAAGAACCAAGAAACAUGAUGCAAGGAUGCAAUGGUUUGAGCUCUCUACUAACGAUACGAUCAAGCUACCAACUUGAGAGCCCCCCUUGAUAGUAUGGCAAACGAUCCUAUAACCCGGUCUCCCAACUACCACCACGAGACCGGUAAAAUAGAAAACCUAUCAAGGGCAAACCUUUGCCUUGCACAUGGUCCACUUGAGCUAGAUGAUGACGAUCUUGACACCCUCAAGUUGGACCACCUUUCUUGAUUGCGUUGGCUCGAUGAAGACUAGAUGAUUGCUCCCCAUAGUCCACUAUGGGUGAGCGACUCUUCGGCACAUCUUCACAAGUCCAUUGACACCACAAUGGAUGGCAAGAUUCAAGCACUUGAUCUCUUCGUGAUGCUCCACUUGAACUUGCACACGGCAAUCAUGAUGACGAUCACCACUUGAUGUCAUCCUUUCCAUGGGUUGUAUGAUAUCUUCCUCUUGACGCAAGCUCAACGACACGUACCAUACCAUGGGAUCACUUGAUCCCUCUUGGUACAUCUUCUAUGCUUUGUGAGUUGAUCAACUUGAUUCACUCUUGACUUCGUCUUGAUCAACCUUGAAUCUUUCCAACUCUCUUCAUUUGGAUGAUGUCUUGAAGGUAAACAUGAAUGAUCACACAAUCUUCUUCUUCAAGACAUGCUUGCAAUAAGCUCAACACUCACAUGACCAAUCUUUGGAUAAUUCCUUAAUAGCACCUUGGUCAACUCAUAAACUCCUUGAAACCAACACAUGGACUUCAAGAAAAGCCUAUGGACAAAACCUUCAAAUAUAACUCAAGGCAACCAUUAGUCCAUAGAGAUUGUCAUCAAUUACCAAAACCAAACAUGGGGGCAUCGCAUGUUCUUUCAGUGUGGGUUGCUAGUAGUGUUGAUUACUCCUUGUAGUUGAUGCUAAUUGGUUUACUUGGUGGAAGAUCAUAUGUUCAGAUCCUUAAUGCAUAUUAUUACUCCUCUGAUUAUGAACAUGAAUAUGCUUUGUGAUUAGUUAUGUUUGUUCCUGAGGACAUGGGUGAAGUCUUGCUAUUAGUAGUCAUGUGAAUUUGGUAUUCAUUUGAUAUUUUGAUGAGAUGUAUGUUGUCUUUCCUCUAGUGGUGUUAUGUGAACUUCGACUACAUGACACUUCACCAUUAUUUGGGCCUAGAGGAAGGCAUUGGGAAGUAGUAAGUAGAUGAUGGGUUGCUAGAGCGACAGAAGCUUAAACCCUAGUUUAUGCGUUGCUUCGUAAGGGGCUGAUUUGGAUCCAUAUGUCUAAUGUCGUGGUUAGGUUUACCUUAAUACUUAUUUUGUAGUUGUGGAUGCUUGCAAUAGGGGUUAAUCAUAAGUGGGAUGCUUAUCCAAGUAAGGGCAGUACCCAAGCACCGGUCCACCCACAUAUCAAAUUAUCAAAGUACCGAACGCGAAUCAUAUGAGCGUGAUGAAAACUAGCUUGACGAUAAUUCCCAUGUGUCCUCGGGAGCUCUUUUCUCAUUAUAAGAAAUUGUCCAGGUUUUUCCUUUGCUACAAAAAUGAUUGGGCCACCUUGCUGCACUUUAUUUACUUGCAUUGCUUGUUACUCAUUACAAUUUAUCUUAUCACAAAACUAUCUGUUACCUACAAUUUCAGUGCUUGCAGAGAAAACCUUACUGAAAACCGCGUGUCAUUUCCUUCUGCUCCUCAUUGGUUCGACACUCUUACUUAUUGAGAGGACUACGAUAGAUCCCCUAUACUUGUGGGUCAUCAAGGCGCGAUGCUCGGGAGGUCCCAUUUAGCACUCAAGCAGCCGCCGCUGGGCGAGAAAGGAAGGCAACGUCGCCGUCACAGAGCCGCAUUAAGUGAGGGUUUGGUGUCGCGUCGAUUAGCUGUUCUAGGAGCGUGACUUAUCUCGAGAGAUCGAAGCCGUUCCUUAGCGAGGUGCCGGACUUGCGUGUCGGCAGCUGGGACGUUGCUGGGUCAGGCCUUCGUGAGCUUCUCCUCUCUUCCCCGCACUCUCCUUCUUGCUCUACAUCCUCAGGUCCCGGCCCUCGAGCAAGCUCAGCCGCCGCUGGUAUGCCAGGUCGUGAUGCCGUGGACAAGGCCAGGGGGUGAGGGCUGGAGAGCCAGUAAGAGCUCCUGAGUCACGAUGCUCAGGAGCCCCCAUUUCAACACGCGAGCGGAUCACACGGGUAAGAGAGAGAGAGAGAGAGAGCUCACGAUGCCCCCCACGUUAUUCCUUAGGUGGACCCUGUAAACCAACACGAGGAAAACAUGGACUGCCAUUACGAUUGCUGGCCAGCCAUUGGUUGCUCCGAGGGAGUGAUGAGGGCACUGAGGGCCUAGUGAGGUAGCGCUUUGCGGGGCUACCGCGGCCAGAGCUCGACCACUCAGAUUUGUCGAUGUUGCAGGGACGGACCCAUGCACAAGCGCGUGCCAGAGCGAGCGGCUCCAAAGGUAGGUGCUAAUCGAGUAGGCGAUUAUCAUAGGCAGGUUAAUUGCAAAGAGCAAAUCAGCUUAGAUAGAUGCAGGAAAGACACACGCCACUGGGUCAGGCCCGAGCGGCUUGGGGAUGAUGCAGCCCGAGGGGCGCCCCCAACAAGGUAAGCUAAAGACAUAAGCAAAAUGGAUACAUGGCACGGGGACGGACCCACGCGACCUGGGAAUGAUGUAGCCCUGAGGGCGCUCCCAGCUGAAAUGAAACUCGAAAGAUGUCACCUGGUAUCAUUGCAGAGCGAGUGUUGGAGUAGCUGACGAUGCGCGGUGAAGAAGCUGGUCCUCACGAGCCUUCGGAGCCCCGAGCCUCGGGAGGCUCCGGGGGUCCAGGUGGCUCCUCGAGGUCCAUCUCCAUCUCCACCAGGAACGCGCGGUGCCUGACCACUUGAGCUUCUAGAAUGCUCCUUAUCAGGCGCUGGUGAGCAGCAGCCGUGUUCGGCAGGCCGAAAGGCAUGCAAACGUAGCUGUGCGGUGGACCCUCGCAGUAUCCCACGCGCGAAGGCCAAAAACGCUCCUGAGACGCGACUCGGUUGAGCCCUUAGUAGUCGAUGCAGACAUGCAGCCCGCCAUCCUCGCCUGGAUGGGGAGCUACACCGGGUAGGCGGCGAUUGCCGCGCAUGACUCUCGACUCCUGCAGCUCUUGAGUGACCUUGGUGAUGAACUCCUGAGGGUUGGGCCCUCCUUGCCUCAUGCCUUCCUGAGGGAAACGUGCCGCGAAGCACGCCUCCAAGUGGUGCCCGAGCGCCUCCCUCGUGAUCUUGUCAAAGUCAGUGGCCCUCCAGGAGAGAGUCCCCGAGCCUUGCCCGAGGAGGGCGCCAGGCGCACCUUCCUAUGCGACGGGGGGAGGCGCCCCUUGGACGGGCUCAGAUCCUGGUGCGGUGCCUCCGGAGGUGCCUGCCUCCUGAGGCCUUGAGCUAGGUGAUGUCUUCUUCUUCUUGGGAGCUGCCUCGGGAAGGUUUCCACUCUUGCAGUCUGGGUCCUCAAUUGAUGCGUCUUGGAAGGCACGCUCGAGAGAACACACCACAUCCUUCUCUUUGCAAGGGACUGUGAUGACUCCGCCGCUUCCCGGCAUCUUGAGGACAUUGUAACCAUGGUGAGUCACUGCCAUGAACUUGGCCAGGGCUGGAUACCCGAGGAUGGCAUUGUAUGGCAGGCGAAUGUGGGCAACCUCGAAGUCGAUGAGGUCGGUACGGUAGUUCUUGCGCUGUCCAAAGGUGACAGGGAGGCCGACCUUCCCUAUCGGGGUGGUGGAGCCGUCAGUGACUCCUGAGAAAGGCUUGGUCGGCUGAAGCUAGUCAUAUGGCACUUGGAGAUUGUUAAACGUCUCGACGGACAGAACAUUGAGUCCUGCGCCACCAUCGAUGAUGGUUCUGGUAACUUGCACAUUGCUGAUGACUGGGGAACAGAGCAUUAGGAGGACACCGGCUAUUGCCGCACACUUGAGGUGAUCCACUGAGCUGAAUGUGAUGGCGCACGUUGACCACCUGAGAGGGUGCGUGGCCUCGAGCUUGGGGAGGACUACAUUCACCUCGCGAGCAAACUGCUUGAAGAUGCGCUGAGAGGCUGGGGCCUGGCCACCACCCAAGAAGCAAGCGAUAGCACGCGGCUCCUGGAAGCCCCCAACCCCCUCAUCCUGAUGAUGGUCUUCAUUCCUUCUUGGUGGUUGUGGCAGAGGAGGAAGGCCUGUGUUGCCUUGCGGGCGAUCCUCACGAGGCUGAUCCCUCCAAGCCCCCUCGUGAGGCUGGUCCUGCCAGCGGUCCUCGCGAGGUCGGUCACGCCACCCUUGGCGAGGGCCACGGUCAUCCCAUCGUCCUCCACCUCUUCCUCCUCCACGGCCACAGCCCCGAUCACUGCGCUCGGGGUGUCGACCGACACGUCCUUCUCGCACGGCCCUGAGCUCUUGGCAUUCGUUGGUGUUGUGGGUGUGGAGGUCAUGGUACACGCAGUACCGGCUGCCCUUGGACAACUUCGGCUGGUCCCUGCCGCGCUUCGUGUCUGGUUCUGCUGCGAGCACAUCUGCUCCUUUGCGCUUCACGUCAUUGGCCUUGGCUUUCUUCUCUUCUGGGCCAGCUACUGGGAGCUCGAGGAGGGAGAGGCGUCCUUCUUCAGCCCUUGCGCACUUGGUCGCCAGGUUGAACAUCUCCAGAGAUAUGCACAGAUCCUCGUGGAUCGCCAGUUCCUCCUUCAUCUUGAUGUCACGGACGCCAUCAGAGAACGCUGAGAUGAUGGCCUCGGUUACCUUGGGAAUCUUGAGGCGAGCGCUGUUGAAGCGCUAGAUGUACUUCUGCAAGGUCUCUCCAGGUUGCUGCUUGAUGCGGUGCAGGUCGCCCAUCACUGGAGGACGGUCGCCAGUGCCCUGGAAGUUGGCGAUGAAGCGGGUGCGCAUCUCAUCCCAAGAGGAGAUCAUGCCGGGGGGCAGGUUCAGGAGCCAGGUGCGGGCACUGUCUUUGAGCGCCAUGGAAACCAGUUCGCCAUGACCUUCUCGUCUCCGUUGGCCUCUUCGAUGCCCAGCUCGUAGAGCUGCAAGAUAUCCAUGGUGUCAGCUAUGCCGUCGUAGCGAGGAGGCAGGUCCGUCUUGAGCUUGCCCGGCCAGGCGACACUGCGUAGCUUGGUGGUGAAUGCGCCACAGCCUGCGCUGGCCACCGGAGCUCUUUGCUGACGCGGGCUUGCUCCUGGGGAUUCCCACGCACCGCCGCCAGGGGCAGUGCGGGGUCUUGACGCGGUGGCGCAGGGAUGCGUUCAUGGCGUGUCGGUGCAUGGAGCACGCGAGCACCUUCUUGGGGACGAGGGAUUUCCUGGCAGCUCCUUUCUUGUCGCGCGGGCACUUCACACGGUGGGUCUCGUCCAGGGGCCGCGUGCCUUGGAGCCAUGGCGCCUUCUUGGGGAGGAGGUGGCGGAGGCACCUCCUGAGAUGCAUAACCUGCGCAGGACGGAGCGUGAGGCAGCGAGAGGGACAGCGCCAGGGAGGCCCCUGCGUCCCUAACGAGCUCGAUGAUGCGAGCGAGCCACUCCUUGUAGAGGUCGUCGAUGGGACGGUAGUGCAGGAGCUCAUGUGCCAGGAGCAACGCGGCAUGCAUGCCCGUGGGAGCGCGACGGGCGUGCGACAACGAGCCGGCUGGAGUCAGCGAUGGAGUGGUGGUGCGGCCUUCCCGCCGCACCGAGGGAUGCAGCGACGGCGCCUACUGCUCAUUGCCCGCCGGGCCGGUGGCGGCGUGGGCGAUAGGCGACGAGGAACAACGGGGAGGCCCACCGACGGGAGCCGUCUGGGCGACGUGGGCGGCGAGAGCAGCCCGACGAUCGGCGCGAGCUCGGCGAGCGUCAGCCAUGGAUGCGACAAACGAUUGAAUGCGGAACAUCGGAAGAAAGAUCCAGCGUACCCCUACCUGGGGCGCUAAAUGUCGGAUAUCAGGCUCCGGCAAAACCCUUAAGGUUCGAACUCUAGGGUGCGCGUGAAGAUCUUCCCCCUACCGAUCCACGUUCCAAUGCCUCGCUGAGAAUCUAAGCUAAACGAUGAACAACACAAGGGACACAAGGUUUAUACUAGUUCGGGCCACCAUUGUGGUGCAAUAUCCUACUCCAGUGUGUGGUGUGGUGGAUUGCCUCAGGGGCUGAUGAUGAAUAGUACAGGGGAAGAACAGCCUUGCGAGAGGUGUUCUUGUGGAAGGAUUCCGAUCCCCUCCUACGGUGGUGGCUAUCUCUAUAUAGAGGCCCUGGUCCUCUUUCCAAAUAUUGAGCGGGAAGGGCGCCAACAACGGCCAUUUUUAAGGGGAACAUCUAGUACAAGUUAUCCUGACUAAAGUUGGUCUUCGGCUGCCAAAGGCACUAGAAAUGACGCCGUCUUGGGCUCCACGGUGACCUCCGUCCUGCCACUCUGCUGGUCUUGGUCUCGUUGCACCGAAAUGGUAACCUUUGCUUGAUGCCUUGGUACUCCACGCCUGUUCUUGCCCCCUUAGCACCAAAGAGGAAACAAGGACACUGCGCAGGCCGACGCCCGCCUGGUGCCCUCCUGGUCUCGAUCAUCAUGGCUUGCAUCACGAGCACCUCGCAAGGUACCCUUGCCUUAAUCGCUCCUCCUCCUCGUGAGCCUGCCUGGUGAGGCCGUUCCCGAGGAAGCCUUUCGUCAUCCGCCCCGCGAGGCUUGGCCCCUCGCGAGGGUCUUGAGCUUGAGUUGAUGCAGAUGGGCCGUACUGGGCCACCACUUGAGCCAUGCCGCACGCUGCAGGCAGGCAAGUCUGGGGACCCCCGUUCCCAGAAAGCCGACAGAAACAAUUUUAUCGCCACCACAAGCCUAUGUUCUUCCGCGACCCCAUCUGGAGGACUCCGCCGGUACUCUACCGGAGGGGGAAUCGAUCGCGGAAGCCAUCUUCAUCAACCUUGCUACCUCCAUGAUAAUGUGUGAGUAGUUCCCAUAGGACCUACGGGUCUAUAGUAGUAGCGAGAUGGAUCUCUCUCUCUCUCUCUCUCUCUCUCUCUCUCUCUCUCUGAUCUUCAAUACAAUGAUCUCUUCGCAAAUCCAUUCGAUGUAAUCUUUGCGGUGUGUUUGUUGGGAUAUGAUGAACUGUGUGUUUAUGAUCAUAUUAUUCAUUGAAUUUAAUCGAGUGUCUUAUGAGAUUUAUUAUGUGUGAUUGUAUAGCAUUGUAUUUCUCUCUGAUCUAUCUAUCUUCUUUGACUAAUUAGAUUGAUUUAUCUGUAGUGGGAGAGGUGCUUGGCAGCAGGUUCAAUCUUGCAGUGUCCUUACUCUGUGACAGAGGAGUUGCAAGGCACGUAUUUGUAUUGUUGCUAACAAGGGUAAAACGAUGGGGUUCGAACAUAUUAUUUGGUCUUACUUUGUCUACAUUAUGUCAUCAUGGUGAUAGCAUUACUCUGUUUGGUAUGAACUCAAUAGCUUAAGAUGCAUUUUGGAUAGCGCUCCAGCUGUGGGUAAUACUAGUAGAUGCAGAUGGAUGUCGGUUUACUUGUCUCAGAUGUAAUGCCUAUGUAUUUAUCAUGCCAUGAAUAUCAUCGUAACUAUGCGCUAUUCUAUCAAUUGCCCAACAGUAAUUUGUCUACUCACUCUUGAUAUUCUCAUGAGAGAGAUGCCUCCGGUGAACGCUAUGGAUCCACGGUCCUUCACUUCAUAUUUACUAAAAGCCUAAAAUUAGUUCCUGCAACUUAUUUUCAUUUAUUUUCCUUUGCCAUUUAUUUAUCUAUCACUAUCAAAAUUAAUUCUUGCAAUUAACGAGUACAAGGGGAUUUACAACCCUCUUGCCCGCGUUGGGUGCAAGUAUUUCUCUCUCUCUCUCUCUCUCUUUGUGUGUGUGUGUGUGUGCAUGUGUGCAGGUACUGUUGAUGUUUGUUUGCAUGAGUCUCCUACUGGUUCGAUAAACCUUGGCUCUUAAUUGGGGGAAACACUAUUUUCUACUAUACCUCAUCACCCUUCCUCUUCAGGGAAACCCAGCGCCUAUCACAAGUAGCAUUACACACAUUAUGGAAGCCCAAACUUGGGUACUCUAUGUCUAUAUGGUUAAUUGAGGUUCUGCCCUAUUGUCACACAAAUCCACAUAUGUUAUUGUACUAUUGUUCUAGUACUUUGCUAUACACCAUCGGCAGUUGGCGGCGACUAUUGGGACCUUCAUGAUAUCAAAUAGGAUAUAUGGGAUGUUGUUGGAAGCAUCAAUAUCCUCAUCUUCAUCGGCACCAUUAACGCUUUCCAAAGGAACGGAGUUGCCCCGCCCCUACUCUCAAAUGGAUUUACACUAACAGCUCCGAUCAAAAGGACAAUCAGGCAAUGCAAUAUGAAGCCUUGGGGCAAGGCAGACCCCACAUACAAUAAUUGCUCGAUGUGUUAUAAGUGGGGAGGAUAUACACCAACCACGAGACUAGAAGGAAUCUUGAAAUGAGCAAGAAAUAGGUCCUACUUGCCUAAGAAAGGGACAUCAUGACCCCUAUGGGCAGAUGCCCCCAUGUGUUUCAGCACCGCCAACUUGUCACGAGGGCUCAAGCACCUGGGGCGAUACCCCCUUUUGGUUGAUCCCAUGAUCAACUAGGUCAGGAUAUGCCAUGUCUUGGUGGAUAUGGGCAACAUGUUUACGUAUUUUGUGAGCAAACAACUUAUGGGAACAAGAAUCAACUAGCAUAGGAAGGCAAAACAAGCAAGACUUCAAGAUUUUCAACACAUAGAGAGGAAACUUGAUAUUAUUGCAAUAUGUAAAAGCAUAUGUUCCCCUCUCAUAAUAAUUUCAGUAGCAUCAUGAAUGAAUUCAACAAUAUAGCUAUCACAUAAAGCAUUCUUUUCAUGAUCCACAUGCAUAAAAAUAUUAUUACUCUCCACAUAAGCAAAUUUAUUCUCAUGAAUAGUAGUGGGAGCAAACUCAACAAUAGCGAUCAUGUGAUACUUGAUUGGCAUAAUCAUAUUGAGCAUUAAAAUCAUGAUGACACGUUUCAUGGAUAUCAUUACUCUUUACAGCAUACAUGUCAUCACCAUAAUCAUUAUAGAUAGCAACUUUGUUGUCAUAAUCAAUUGAAAACUCUUCAAAAAUAGUGGAUCCAUCAUUAAAUAAAGUCAUGACCUAUCUAAAUCCACUUUUAUGAUUAUUCCAAUAAGAUUCAACACCCUCCAAAAUAGUGGGAUCAUUAUUACAUAUAGUUGACACUCUUCCAAACCCACUUUCAUCAUUGUAAUCAUCAUAAAUAGGAGGCAUGCAAUCAUCAUAAUAGAUAUUCUCAUCAAAACUUGGACUAAAAAUAUCAUCUUCAUCAAACAUAGCAUCCUCGACCUUAUGGAUUUGCAUAUCAUUAGCAUCAUGGAUAUCCAAAGAAUUAAUACUAAGAACAUUGCAAUCAUGCUAAUCAUUCAAAGAUUUUAUGCCAAACAUUUUAUUGAAUUCUUCUUCUAUCAAUUGAGCAGAAUUUUCAUUUCCAUCAUUUUCAAGAAAGACAUGAUAAUGUCGAAUAGUAUGAGGCCACCUCAAUUCCAUUUUUUUGUAGUUUUCUUUUACAAACCAAACUAGUGAUAAAACAAGAAACUAAAAGAUUCAACUACACGAUCUAAAGAUAUACUUUCAAGCACUCACUUCCCUGGCAACUGUGCUCGAAAAGAGCUUGAUGUCUACUACACAACUUGUUCUUGUAGACUCGUGUUGGGCCUCCAAGCGCAUAGUUUUGCAGGACAGUAGCAAAUUUCUCUCAAGUGGAUGACCUAAGGUUUAUCAAUCCGUGGGAGGCAUAGGAUGAAGAUGGUCUCUCUCAAACAACCCUGCAACUAAAUAAUAAAAAGUCUCUUGUGUCGCCAACACACCUAAUACAAUGGUAAAUUGUAUAGGUGGACUAGUACGACAAAGAGAUGGUGAUACAAGUGCAGUAAUGAUAGUAGAUACUGAUUUUUGUAAUAGUAACAAUAAAAACAACAAGGUAGCAAGUAACAAAAGUGAGCACAAACAAUAUUGCAUUGCUAGAAAAUGAGGACUAAGGUCCGUACUUUGCUAGUGCAAUCUCUCAACAAUGCUAAUAUAAUUGGAUCAUAUAACCAUCCCUCAACGUGCAACGAAGAAUCACUCCAAAGUUCUUAUCUAGCAGAGAACAUAAGAAGAAAUUGUUUGUAGGGUACAAAACCACCUCAAAGUUAUCCUUUCCGAUCGAUCUAUCAAGAGUUCAUACUAAAAUAACACCAAGUUAUCCUUUCCGAUCGAUCUAUCUAAGAGUUCGUACUAAAAUAACACCAUAUGAUACACAUCAACCAACUCUAAUGUCACCUACAUACUCCAAUGCUACCGCGAGUAUUCGUGAGUUGAUUAUACUAUAUGCAUCAAACAAUUUCAGAUUCAUAAUACUCAAUCCAACACAAAGAACCUCAAAGAGUGCCCCAAGAUUUCUACCAGAGAAACAAAGACGAGAAUGCGCAUCAACCCCGAUGCAUAGAUUACACCAAUGUCACCUCGGGACUCCGCAAGUUGAGAGCCAAAACACAAAUCAAGUGAAUCAAUAUGAUACCCCAUUGUCACCAUGGGUACUCAUAGCAAGACAUACAUCAAGUGUUCUCAAAUCCAUAAAAGUAUUCAAUCCGAUAAGAACGAAAUCUCAAAGGGAAAACUCAAUUCAUCACAACAAGAUAGAGAAGGGAAAACACCAUAUGAUCCAACUACAUUAACAAAGCCCGCGAUACAUCAAGAUCGUGCCAAAUCAAGAACACGAGAGAGAGAGAGAGAGAGAGAGAGAGAGAGAGAGAGAGAGAUUAAACACAUAGCUACUGGUACAAACCCUCAACCCCGUGGGUGGACUACUCCCUCCUCAUCAUGGUGGCCAGGGAUGAUGAAGAUGGUCUCCGGUGAUGAUUUCCCCCUCCAGCAGGGUGCCGGAACAGGCUCUCGAUUGGCUUUCCAUGGCUACAGAGGCUUACAGCGGCGAAACUUCCGAUCUAGGGUUAUUUCUUUGGGUUUCUGUAUUUAUAGGAUUUUUUGGCGUCAGUCUCACGUUAAGAUGGUCCACGAGUAGACCAGAAGAUACCAGGGCGAGCCAGCCCCCGCCCCCCCCCCUCUCUCUCUCUCUCUCCCUCUCUAAUUCUACAUGCAAACUGGAUGCAUUAAACAAGGCAUAAGACAUACAAGCGAUAUGAUAGCUGCUCAUCGUUUGGAAGAAGAAGAAUUAACCUCAUAGGAAUUUAGAGUUCUGGCAGUUGUUGCAAAAUUCCUUUGUUCCAAAUAAAGAGUAGCAUAGUUUUGUGCUACCGGUUACCCUUGAGAUUGGCAUUAUUACGUUUUUACUGAUCAGAUGUGUGCAAUAUGACCAUGAAAAUUUCAUAACUAUAUUAUCACAAAGUAUGAUCCAAUUACAAAAGCAUCAGAGUAGCUAAGCUGGAGAUAGGAUAAAAGCUGAGCAUUUGGAUCUUGUAGUGAAAACAUUACACUUGGAGCGAGCUAAGACCUAAAAAGAUAAACGACCUGGAGCAGAAAGCUAAGCAUUGGCGGCGACCUAAGAGCGGAAAGCUAAGCAUUUGGACCGAACUAGGAGCAAAAAGCUAAGCAUUUGGAAAUACUAAGAAAAAAUAAGCAUUUGGAGCUAGGAGCAAAAAGCUAGCAAUUGAAGUUGGCUCGUAUUUGGACACAAGAAUCUGGUGUUGAAUCUUUGGCACUUCUGUUUGGUGGGCAUCCUGGAUCACUUGAUCCAUUCGGACCACCUCUUGGAUCCUAUUUGUCCUCUUUUUUGUAGUCGGCUAGAAACGUUCCAAUGACCACCUGUGAACAAAAAAUCAAAGUAUUAAGACAAAGCACAAGGUUCUCACUAGCAAUAGAUGUGUAUUUUGUAAAGCUAUGUCAUUGUCGAAAUAAGCUACAUAUAAAGAGAAACAUAUAGUGAUUUUACAUAUAGGACUAUUAGUAUGUAUAGAAUGUAAAUUAUAUGGCAGAACAUUGGUUUCACAGUUUUCCAAAUGUAGGAAGCACAUAUAGCCUUUAAUUACUUCGAAAAAAGAGCAAGAUGCAGUGAGAGCUAUUAACAUACUAUAAUAUAAAGAUCUUUGUCUUUUAGAAGCAUGUUACUCCCAGUGAAAGAUGGUAACCUGAACAGGUGAAGCUGCAAUCAGAGGUCCUGCUGACCCACCGCCGAUGACGCGGCCAUCGGGACUGGCAAACGAAAUACCCAAUUCACCCUUUCGAGUGCUCAGUCCAUUAGUUUUGGAUGGCACAUACAAGCCAGACAAAGAGAGGAUCUGAAAACAACCCUGCACAUUGACUGCACAUAAUUAGAUAUUGUUCAGAUUUGGAAACCUAUCUAGAGGUCAAACAACAACAUCCUUACAGAAAGCCAGAACCAUAAAACAGUGUGUCUUGAUUGUACUAUGCUGGCAAUGAAAAUAAUUAUUUAAAAAUCUAAUUAAUGGCCCACACUUCAUUUUUUUCCUUAUUGUUCUCUAGUUUGGCUGGACCUUAAGUACAUUUCUAAAGCACACCAGCAAAAAGGGAUUUCUAAUGUACAGUUUCCAAGCUAAAACAAUGGAGCGAACCUGAUAAACGACUCUUUCAUGAGGAGAAUUUGCCUGCCGCAGUGUCACAUUGCGCACAACACCAUUGGCAGAGAAGAUAUGAACUGCCAACCCAUUCCCACAAUAGGAGAGGACUUUUGUUGUGACAUCCUGAAACCAUGAAUCCAUUAUUAGCAUCUUUUUUAGAGGAACCAUUUCAAUUAGAUAUUUUGAUAGCUAGUAUCUAGAUACUAUGACAAAUUGUUGUUAGAGCACUGCUGAGCAUAAUCAGGGUGGACAAAUUACCUCUCCACCUUGGACUGUGAUAACCUGUGGAAUUAAUCCAGUCGCAGCAGGCCCUACAAAAAAAAUCCAUUUCAGUUUAGAACGGGAAAUGUACUUAAUGUUGGCAAACUGAAUAUAACAUUGGUCUGAACUAAACUAACAUGUAACAUCCUACAAAUAUAAUUUCAAAGCUCCGGUCAUACUUCUGGAGGGAAUAACAACACAAUAUGAAUGAUUGCAAUGAAAUAACACCUAUACGAUAUUUUAAUAUUUUAAUACAUCCACAAAAAAGCUCUGUUUUUAUGACAAACAUGUGGCAACCCUGUCUGAAAAAUCGACAUGGAUAAUUCCAUGCUUGUUAGACUCUGGUCAACCUGCGGUGGUCAUUUGUAUAUAUGAGUAUUAGGACUAAAAUACCACCAUAUCCAUCUAUGCACCUUUUGCUACUCAAGCAAGAACACUAUAUACCUGCUACUGCCAUCUGUGGCUUCUUCUUGCUGGCCAUGGAGCUCGGCGGCCAUACCCUCGUCUGCUUAACUGGAUGUGUUCCAUGCUGUAGAGGUGGUGGUGGUAGGGGUGGUAGCGGUGAUGGCAGUGCUGGUGGCGCAUGGGGGCUCCCAACGCCCAGGCGCAAUCCCAACGUGGAGUUCGAGGGUAGAGCAGGUGUCGGGGGAGCAGCAACACCAGUAGGAUAUGGCGUCGGGAAGAUAGUUGGCGGCAUGGUGCCAUCGGGGGCGUACUUUCGCGGGCGGCCACGCUUCCUCUUGGGUGGCUUAGAGCUCACACCCAUGGCGUGCGCGUACGCGGUGCCGGCCGCGUGCCCGGACGGACGUGGUGCGGAGUAGUAGGAAGCUCCACCUUGGUGGGCAACGGUCAGGCGGGCGCCAACGAUGGGUUGUGGCUGAGGCUGGAGUAGGCUCCUGCUCAUGCCUGCGCCAUACUUCGUCUCACCCGCUCCAGACGACAUGUCUCCUUUCAUUUCGCCUCAAAAGAACAACACCAACACAAACACACACGCAAACAAACAGAAAACUCCCCUCCAAGUGACCGAGCAAACUACUCCAUCCCUAAAACACGAGAAAUACUAGCAAUUAGCACAACGAAUAGCCUUCAGAUUCCGUAUGUAUUUCCAUAUAUAUAAACUACUCAAAAAUUGAACAAACCUAUUCAAGAAGAUUGACUUCAAAGAUAAAAAAAAUUAUAUGGAAAUCUACAACAAAAGAAGAGCCACAAGAGGAUUCAGAAUGGAGAAAAGAAUAUGCAGUCCCAUUGCUUACAUAGGGGAGGGUGCGGCAUGAGUUUUCAAGGAAGACCCUACAAAGACAUAGCAUUCACAUGAACUACUCACAAUAAUCUUUCGUCACCUUGUGGUCCUGACAUUAGGGUUUAUGAUUAUCAUGUAGUCCAGGGGGCCUAUUGCAUUAUUUCUGAGAAGAUAUUUUCUUUUGGAUCUAUUACGUGGUACUUUAUUUUCCGGAUGCCUACAUAUGUAUCAACCACGUGUAUCCUUAGAGAAUUUUCGAAUUUUCUUGAGUGGUCAUCGUGGAUGUGUUCAGAUGAUGUGCUUAUUUUUUUUCUUUCUAUUUUCACGUUUUGUUGUGUCAUAUUUGGUUUUUUAUUUUUUUCAUAUUUCAUUUUUGACCUUUCAUUUAAUGUUAUUACAUUCAUGGAAUUUCAUAUAAUGUUAUGCCAUUUUGGAAUUCAUCUAAUGAUAUGCCAUUUAUAAAUUUUCAUUUAAUGAUAUGCCAUUUAUAAAUUUCAUUUCUAUGUUAUGCCAUCUUUGGAAUUCAUUUAAUGAUAUGCCAUUUAUAUAUUUCAUUUCAUGCUAUGCCAUCUUUGGAAUUUCAUUUAAUGUUAUGAUUUAUUUGGAUUUUAAUUAUUUUCGGGUCAUCUUUAGAUUUUUUUAAUUAUUUUCUAUUUUAAUUUAUUGUUGUGCAAUAUUUGGAUAUUAUUUGUUGAUAUGCCAUAUUUUGAUUUUUUUUGUACUUAAUGUUAUGCCAUCUAUGGAAUUUCAUUUAAUGUUGUGCCAUCUAUGGAUUUCAUUUUUGUUAUGCCAUAUUUGGAAUUAAAUGUAUGCCAUUUAUAAAUUUUCAUUUAAUGUUCUACCAUGUUUGGAAUUUCAUUAGUAUUAUGCCAUGUUUGGUUUUUAUCUACUAUUAUCUCAUCUUUGGAUUUUCAUUUAAUUUCAUAUUGUCUUUUCUAUGGGUGAAUGCCAUAUUGUCUUUGGGUUUUCAUUUCUUACAAUCCCAUAUUUGGAUUUUUAUUCAUGGUUGUGCCAUCUUUGGAUUUCAAUGGAUCCAUGUGUUUGAGUCUACCGAGCUUUUCAAAUGAACCAUCUUUGGAUAUACAAUGGCUAAGGAUACGUUGGAGGGGUUUGGCAAGUGUGCACUCGUGCAAAUGUUAGAGAUGAGAUGGUUUGGGUUCCAAAUGAUCAGAUUUUUUCAUAGUAAUUACAUCUUCAUUGACUAAAAUACACUGUAUAGGUACCAACACACUAAAAAUCGCUAAUAGGCUGGGAGAAGACAAGUGUAGAAGAAAUUUUGCAUGAAAAAUACAGCUAGGGGCCUAGGGUCCUUUCACACACCAAAUCCUACUACUACCACCAACCUUGGUCUUCGUUGAGGUGCUCACUCGAAGAGAAGAGAAGCUUCCACCAUUGCCAAAAUUAUGGAAGUACCAUCACCAAUGAGGCUUUGAGAGACCAAGAAUAGACACACCACAAGACACGAUGCACGUGUCACUAUGACACACUUGUUAGGAAAAAAAUACAUAUUAACUUGGAUCGGGAUCCACCGCAUCUCAUGGAAUCGUCUUUAAACCACCAACCCCUAUCCAAAUCCAUGAUUGAUUUUUCUCACUUGCUAGUCUCUUAGAGGGCAAAAAAUCCAUCAACAAACGGAAAAAAAUCUCGUCGCUAGGAGUAGACGACGGGUCGAGGAGGCAACCAGAUCUUCAACAUAUGGUGAGGAAGAACUGAGGCAAAAUUAUGAGACACCCUAACUGCUUUCAUGUACAAGACAAAACCUAAUGAUUCCUCCCUAUACUUGCAAGAAGAGAUACAUGGUUCCACUCCCCCUUUGGUCACGAUAAGGUUGAUGCUAGGGAUAGAAUCAGGAUCUUAGUGGAAUUCACCAAGGGAUAAGCUCCUUAUCACAUUUUGUCUAGGGAGCAAGAGAGUGAAUCCGAGUUUUCAUGACUAGAAAUGGAUGAAGGACGGCACGACAUGAUCUCACCCAAUGGAUCGCAAGUGCAAUUGGUUGUAUCGUCAACAUCGACAUUCCAAGUUUUAAAAGAUUGAAAACAAUGGAUGGAAACCCAUAAAUUGCAAGAAUUGGGUUUAGUAGGUUUUCUAGUGCUCUAGAAAACCCUCUGUGAUAGACCUAUUUCACUUAUUCAUCGUAAUCGAAUUUACUCUUCAACACCUCUAUCAAAGGCCAUCAUAAUAAAGAUUGUAUGAAUACAAAGAUGAAAAAAAAUAGGAGAGAACUCACCGAGUUUGUUUUUGUCGAAGAGGCUAGAAAGGCAGUGUCCUUUAACUCCAUAAUAUGUUCAUCAUUGAUCUGAUCCGCCAUGGGAUUAGCCAUCUUAAACUCAAAGACCUAAUCAUAACCGAGUUGAUCCUCCAUGAACUCAUCAAUCACAUUUCUGUGACGAUCUGCCAUGUGUCCGUCCACCAUGCGCUUGCGAGCAUGGUUGUAGGUUGACCUACUUAGCACUGACAUAAUAAACUAAGAGAGUGAAUCCUCUGAAAAUUCGAUGAAGGAGCGAGUUCACUAAAACUUCGAUAGCACUGGAGGUGAUGUUGUGGAUAGGCACGAGAUGGAGAUAUUACAUAGAGAAGGGAAGGUUUGUGAAGAGGCUUGAGGGGAGAGGCUAGG
rnacentral:lncRNA from 1 species